rnacentral:lncRNA from 1 species
AGACUUUCAUUAUUACUGGUUCUGAGAUUCAUUUCGCCUCUGGCGAUUCUUCUUCUUUCUCUCUAAAAUCUGAGUGCCUCUUGACUUUCUCUUGAAUGAAAACUUUGAAUCUUCAACUUGAGAUCAUGUAUUACAAGUCUUGAGUGAUCUGUAGUUCAAUGAUUUCCUUUAAAGUUCUUGUGUGACCGAGUGCCUGUUGAGUUCGAGAGGGUUUCUUGUAAUCUUGAGUGAUAUUUGAGUUGUUGAGGUCAUUCUGUAAUUUGGACGGCAUUUCUGGUUCCAAUUAAUGCAGUGAUUUCUUCCGGUGGUGGAAACACAAAAAGGGGAUUAGGAGCUAGCUCUGAAUCUCUUACCUUAGGGCGAAAAAUUCUGUGUUCUUUCGUUUUUGUGUUUCUUGCACAUUUAUAUUUUGCAUUUUGUUGUAAAAAUCACUUAAUACUUUGAACCUGCUCUUAACAGUUUUACAUGAAGAUUUUUAGAAAUUUUGCUUAUCAAGCUGUGAUGCUUACUGCCCAUUAUUUUAUAACGAGUUGCUAAUCUAGGAAAUUCAUUUGAAGCAGGCUGGCAUCUUAUUAUCUCUACAGGAUAAUUUAUUUAUUAAAUUUGGAUUCAAGCACUUCUCUGUAAAUUUGUAAGUUCGUUUAGGUUUAUUCUUAGAUAUAUUUUUGAUGGACCAAAUAUUAAAUACCUAAUUAGUUUGUGGAAGAUGUGUUGGCAUGUGUUUGUUUAAUUUAAACAUACAUGCUUAGCACCAUGUGUUGAGGAAAAUGACUUCUAUAAUGACAUCCAUGUCAACAAAAGCCAGUCAGCAUUUUGGUGGUGUGGUUAGUUUAAGCAUGCAUGAAAAGUUGCGGUCUUGUUGUAGGAUAAUGUUGCUUGUAUUUUGGUUUUUCUUUGAGUCAUUAAAGUACGUGAGAAUUAAGGAACUCUUAACUGUUUUGUGGAAGGAAAUCUUUGUUUCAAGCUAUUACUUUUAACAAUCAUGCUAUGUUGCCCAAAUUUUUUUACCACAAUGGUUGAUCAAUACUCAUAAUGGGGUGAGGCCCAAAUUUUUUUUUGGACUUUUUUAUUAAUGUGGGACCCAAGCGCAUCUUAAAGGAUGUCAAACAUUCUAUAAAAAAUUUUCGGACAAAGUUGUUUAAUUCUACUUGUCAAGAAAUUGACGUACAUUAAUUAUUGGUUGUGUGUGGUGGCCAAUCUUUGCUUUCUUUCAAUUAUUCUUUAGUCAGUAAAGCGCUUGAGAGUUUAGCAACUCUUGGCUGUUUUUAUGAUCUGAUGAAAGAAAAUUAUGUUUCAAGUUGCUUUUCAUGAAAUUAGUGUAACUAAAUUUUUGGUAGUGCCCACGCGCGUGUGUUUUAUUUAUUUUGAAUAUGGAAAGCUUAACCCAAGGAGAAAGGAAACUAGGGGUGGGCACGGGUCGGGUCGGUUCGGUUUGGUUCUAAAGAGAAUCGAACCGAACCAAAAUUUUCGGGUAUCUAAUAAAUGGAACCGUCGGGUCCAAAUAUAAUUAUGGAACCGUUCGGUUCCGUUCGGUUUUGUACUAUAAUUAAAUUUUUUAACAUUUAUAACAACAUUAUAUAAAUAAAACUAAUGAUACAUUCAAUGGAUUUGGAAUGUUAGAAACUAGUAGGCUACCUUACUCAAAUGAUCGCUACGGUCAAAGAUUCGCUCGGCGGAGAUUACAGUUUCGAUUGGAGGUCACAGCGUCGGCCAACAAUUGUAUAGGUUUUGGAAUGUUAGCGAGGCUGCGAGAGUGAGUGCGAGAGUCGAGACAACGUUAUGUACUUUAGUAUAGGUGUUUAGGGUUAUUUAGUGGAUUGAAUUUUGUUGGGCUAAGAAAUGAAACAAUAAAAUGGGUAAUUGGGAUAAAAAUUAAAAAAUUAGAAAUGAAACAAAUUAUUGGGCCAAAAAUUUGGAUUUAGAAAUUGUUAAUUUGUUAAAUUGUCUAGAAAAAAUUAAAGUUAAAAUAAUUUUAUUUACUCAAUAAAAAAAAUUAGAAAGAUUCGGUUCUUAUUCGAUUUUUGGGUUCUUGGUCUAGAACCGAGAACCGAACCAUACCCGUCGGUUUUCAAUUCAGAUAUCCGUUCGGGUAUUUAAUUUGACAAGAACCGUCGGGUUCGGUUCGGGAGAUUUGCCCAGUCCUAAAGGAAACAACUUAUAUGACAACAUCCAAGUUGGCGGUUGUUUUUCAGCAUUUAGGGGUUGCGAUAACGUUAAAUGUGCAUGAAAGCUUGAACUUUUAUUGAUGGCCAAUGUUAUCUUUUUUUAGUAAUUCUUUAGUCAUUAAAGCGGAUGAGAAUUUAGCGACUCUUGAUAGUUUCAAUGAUCUCAUAAAAGAAAAUUAUGUUUCAAGUUUUUGCUUUUCAUGAAAUUAGUGUCACUAAAUUUUUAGUCUUGUGCAUGCAUGUUUUGUUUAUUUUGAAUAUGGCAAGCUUAACCCCAAGGAGCAGAGGAAAAGGACUUAUAUGAUUAUAUCCAAGUUGGCGAUUAUCCAUUUGCAUUUGGGGUUGCAAAAGGAUUAAGCAUGCAUGAAAGCUUGUUGUUUUAUUGGUGGCAAAUGUUUGCUUUCUUUCAAUUGUUCUUCAUUAAAGUGCUUGAGAAUUGAGCAUCUCUUAGCUAUUUUUAUGAUCUUAUGAAAGAAAAUUUAUGUUUAAAGCUAUUGCCUUUCAAGAAACUAGGGUAACUUAAUUGUUUGUUGUGCGCGCGCGUGUGUUUUUAUUUUGCUAACUUAUCGUAGAGUAGAGGAAAAGGACCUAUAUGACGACAUUAAAAUUGGCAGCUGUCGGUAAGUAUUUGGAGACUGUGAUAAGGUUAAGCGUGCAUGAAACUUGCGGUUUUGGUUCUUCAGUGAUCAAAGCGCACGAGUUUCCAAGCAACUCUAGAUUGCUUUAAUGAUUUAAAAAAUGAAAAUCUAUGUUUCAGUUUGUAGGUUUUCAAAAACUUUUGGUGACAUCAUUCUUGGUUGUUCGAUAAUAUUUUUGUUUCCGAUGAAAAUAAAUUGUAGUUCGUCGAUUGUCAUGUGCAGUGAUAAUUCUGUGGUAUUUUUCACAAAAGGUUGUCUUGGAAACUAUAAGGAAUAUCAAUCCAAAACCCACGAGCAAUCGUCAAAUGGUAAAAAACAAAGCAAGAACAAAAAUCAAACAUACAGAUUGUUCACCCAAUUCAGCCAAACACGGCCUAAUCUAGGGAGCUCAGAGGUAAGCCCUUCACUAGCCAGAAACCUUCAAGAGAGUACAAACAGUUGAGAAAACUAAAUUAGACCUACAGUAUGGUCAUUGAUCCACAAGGAUCUCAGAAUAAUAUGAACCCUAUUCUACACAACUAGACAAAACCUUGUCAAGAACUCAGAAGAGAUUUACCAGCCACAAACAAGGCCUAAAACACUGCACUAUAUGUUCUACCAUCAUCAGAUAACCACAAAUAUUAUUACAAAACUACCAAAUAAUCUCCAGAUGUUAGAAAGGAAGAAAAGUGAUGGUAGACGUAGUCACGUAGAGAGAGAAACUUAAGAGACUAAACUUCAAACUGACUGACCGAUGGAAAGCCCAAAUCUCAAAAGUCUUUGAUUGUGGAAGACUGAAUCUCAGCCAUAGGAUCUGAUCAACGGUCCACAGUGACCAAGAGAAAGCACAACUCAUGUGAUAUUGUAUCCAUCAAUACCCAAGUGCCAACUGUUCAUUGGAGUGCAAGUGAGAUAAAAUCGUGUUUUUACUUAUGAAAGUGUGGUUUGAGAAACACAACUCUGAACCAUUUUCCUGAACCUCUUAAAGAAAGAGGCUGCUUUGGUGCCCAACAAUAAUUGUGUUGGUUGUCGGCACAGCAGGGUAUUGAAUCUUCUUUGAAUCUCUUGCCACCUCUUCUGUCUUCACUUUGUUUAGCUUUGUUAAUUUACAUCUAGGAGUAUCAGGCUCUAACCGUCUCACCUUCUCUUCAUUUUCCUUUGUUAGCGUAGGUUUCACAAACUGGUUACAUAAAGGGGAUACAAGCUGUAUGAAGAUCCAAGUAACUUUCAAUCCCUCUAUUAUUAGCCAACCAAAUCUUAACAGCUAGUAGGGUUAUAAUAAAUGUCAUUUGAAAUCCUGGAAAAUGUAGUCAAAUAAGAGAUUCUGUGUCUCUCUGUUUGUUUAGGGAUUAAUAAUUUAUCUGCAUUGACCAAAUGACUUUUUUCCUCAUUUUUGAGCAUGUCCUCUGUUACCUUGAGCAGGAAAUAUAUUUAACUCUAGCUUUUAAUAAUGUUAUUCAAUAAUAACACAGUGGCCUACGUAUUCACACAUGUUUGCAGUGUUCAGUGCUUGGUUGUAACAAUUUAUUUCCAAGAAGAAUAGCAUCAAGCCUUUAAUUUGAUAUGGACUCGGAAUGUAACAAGUUUGAAAGAAAUAGUUCACAUAUGGUUAAGUUUAUCAGAAUCUGCAGACAUAAGAACCUUGCUAAGGUUGCUAAGGGGCAUUCAAUUGUCUCUUUAGCUCGGGCUUUACUUAAUUAUAUCAAUUUUUUUCUUUCCCCCAUUUCCUAGAAGAAAGUGAAAGAAGUUUCAGAUUGAACCAUAGAUAAAGAAUCUACGGGUUUGAAAUCAUGUUGAUUCAAUUUAACGUAGCAACAAACAAUACUCUUUUGAUCACAUCUAAUUGUUUUUUACCCUUUCUUUAAUAUUGUAUCUUGAAUCUUGUAAUUUAUUUUCUCAAAUAUGAUUUGUUAUAUGGCUCGUAUCUAUGGUUAGCGACUAGGAAGAACUUGAUGGAACUCGUUGGGACAUCCAGCUUUUUAAACCUUUGGACUUAUAAAAUUAAGGCUUCUGUAUAAAGAUGUAUAGGAGGGAAGAGACUCCCAUGUUAAAUAUUUAUAUAUAUUUCUUAUUUCUCUGAAUUUCUUAGUAAUUGACAUCCCGAACUAAUGCCAUUGUGUUGCAUGAUGAAACUUGUGGAGAUGAAUAUGCUUUUUGUCGUGGGGAAACAUUUGUUUGGUUUAUGAGAGCAAUAGUUGUAGCUUAUAUAUGCUUUUUAUAUUGUUAUUUCUGCCUGGUAAUGAAAAGUUUAUACAUAUUUUGUUUUUGACACCCUCUUUAUGACAUCAAUGGUUGUUCAUAUUCUCUGUGUAGCAAUAUAUUUGAGACUAUUGCUUUCAUUUACUAUGGUUUUAUUUAUCAUUUCAGUUUCUAUGAUAGUGUUUCGGUUUGCGGGGAAUUUUAGGCUUAGAGAAGUCUUAUGAUGUUUUAUACCCACAUUUAAGAGGUGUUCACUACAGUCACUAUUAUUUGAGUAAUGCUAUGUAGUUGCACUAGGAUUACAAUCACAAUCUAAGUAGUACUAGAUGAUAGACUAAAUAAAAUGUGGAAUUAAAUAACUCCUUUAUUCCACUUAUCAUUUAAUGUCACAUUAGCUCUACUUAAACUGGGUUGUAAUUUCAAUGUGACUAAAUAACAUUCCUCUUUUUAUUUGCUUAGCUUCGAUUACCCAUGGUAAGAAGAGUGUCGAAAUGUGCGUACCAUUUAGGCUCAGCAUGUGAAAAGCACGACCCAUGUCUCCCUCAAGCUAAGUUCCAAUAAGCAUAGCAAAAAGCCUAGAGAGUGGGCACAGAUGGGUAUUCGUUCCAAUUGACCAUCUCCUUUCCUUUUUUGGAAUCCAAAAGAAAAAUUCUCCUAAAGGUUCUCUUUCUCACAUUGUUUUAGCUCGUAAACAUAUCUCAAUUUUUGUACAAUUUAUAAACGAUAAUAACAUUUCUCAGGUCCAAACCUAAGCAACAUGCAUGGAAUGUCAAAUGUAAAAAAUCUUUAAAAUAAGGAUUGUACUAGUUGUACAUAAUUUUUUAUCCAUAAAGAUCUCCAUACACUCACAUGGGUGGAAUCCACUCAAAUAUUUUAUUCAAGUGGGUCUCACUUCAUAUAAGAGUAUGGUCACCUUUAUGGAUGAAAAAUUAUGUACAACUAGAUUUAUCCUAAAAAUAAAUAUCAUUAAUGCUUUCAGCUUUUUUCUUCAUACUACUCUUUCAAUCGAACCCCUAAUAAAAUGAUAACUGAAAUAUAUUCGAAAUCCUACCAACAAUCACGCUAAAAAAAAUUAUUUAUAUACUCUUCUAUUUAAAUAUACGAGGAGUAAUUUUCACACACCUUUACCUUAUAAUCUAGUCAGUUCAUAACAACUUAGUAAAGUAACUGAUUGGUAUGGAGAGAUUGGAGGAGUCACAUAAUCUCAUAUGAUUUAGAAAUUCUCAUUAUUUUUUAUCAGAAACUUUUCAGUCCCACAACCAAUAAUUCUAUGCCUUUUCCCCCUUCCAAACAAAGUCUUAAACUCACCGUGUUAAGAUUUGGGACUUAUUUUAAAAGGUUAACCUUAAUAAGAGGAGUAGUCCAAUUCUUUAUAAGUUGGUCUAUAUUUCCAUCUAUAAUCGAUAUGAGAUUUUAUUAUUUAACAUACCUUCACAAGAGGUAGCUCGUUUGAACAGAUCAAUCUUGAAAUUCGUAUGCUUAUUUAUUGAGUCUUAAUCUGAUCGAAUUGCUUGUUGGAGCAUAAUAAGUUCGAUACCAUGUUAAGAUUUGGGGUUUCAUUUUAAAAUGUCAACCUUAUUAAAAGGAAUAAUUUAAUUCUUUAUAAGUUGGUCUAUAUUUUCAUUUUAAUCGAUAGCUGAAAGUCCAAAUGCCGAAAUCAUAAAUUCAGUAGACCAGAUAUCAAACUUACCACCUUGCGUAACCACUAUUGCACACGUUCUCACACUCUCGGUCGGGAUGUGAUUCUCCUCACAUUUGUCACUUUAUAACUACCUUUUUCCCCAUGCAUUCAAUUCCUUCACCAUGCAUCCCCUGGCCACAAUCUCUAUAUCUCAACACGGUUACAACUAAAGUUAUCACUUCUAUUUCUCUCACAAUUGUGCUUUCAGAUAACAGUGGGUACUUUUUAGAUCAGGGCGGAGUUUUUGAAGAUGGCUAUGAACCAACUGGUGAUAGAAGGAGCAGAAAUGGUAGCUUCAUAUCGGAUGCAUGGUGAUGCUUGGUCGGAAGAGGCAACGUCAACCUUGGUUGAUGCUUGGGGAUCUAGGUAUUUACAGGUCAAUUGGGAUAACCUUGUAGGAAAACAAGUCGCUAGUGGAUGAAACUAAUUGUAUAAGUUUUAUUCAAUUGCAAUAGCCAACUAUUGAAAUUAAUAAUCACAAGGUAAACGAUUUCAAUUUAUAAAAAAAAAAUUCCGUUUCAGAAUUUUCCAAUGGCUGAAAAAAAUGUUUAGCAACACAAAAUCAAAAAUAUAAUUUAACUGCAGACUAAAAUUGUAAACGAUGAAUCUGGAAGCUGCACACUAUGGAACUACAAAUUGUAUGAAUUAAAUAGUAAUGCGAAAAUAAUCUGUAGAAAGAAAACACAAACUGUAGCAGAUUUCAAACCGAGGCCUAUGUGUGCACAGUUUCGCCACCUCACCGUAGGUGCUAGAAGUUCAGUUCGAAUGGCUGUCUCCCAGGAUACAACGAUAAUAAGCAGAAUCCGAGCACCGCGGUCCUACUUCGAAGAACUAAUCUAGUAUCUGAACAAUAUCACCACAAAAACAAGACCUUACUGGACAAGGAAUGCAGAAAAGAAGAACUUUGUAUGCAAGAAUGUAGGUGAGAUUUUCGAGUGUGUUAGAUUGCUGGAGAAUGAGUCUUUUUAUAUGCAUAUUGCCCAUUAAUAUUGUGACCAUUGGGAGUCCAUUGGAGUUACUUCCCAUUAACACUGUGACCAUUGGAGUUUUUUUUUCAGUUUAGAAACUCAAAAGUUAUUGGAGAAGGCAAAAAAAAAAAAUUGGCAAAACGUGGGCUCUCCGAUGGGGCCAUUUUUGCCUUGUUCGGUCCGACAUUCGUGUGCGCAGGUCGCGCCCGCACCUAAGUUCAAGGUCCGAAGGCCAUUUCGGUUCGUGAUUUUCACCCCCUGCAUGCGCACGUGGAGAGAGCCUCUAUGCUAUACAUGAUUACACAUCUCCAAAGCAUAGCCAUAUAUAAAGUGGUUUGAGUUUCCUCGGUUUUCCUAUGUGGGAUAAAUGCAUUUUUUCCCCACAAAACCAACUUCCAAUGACCAACUUUGAACUUCAAUUUCUCAUUCACCCGAGUUUCAUUUUUGGCAAAUAAAUACAUGAAAUUGAUGUUCUCACGGAGGAGAACACAUCUCAACUUUGAUAUUCCACAUUGGACCAAUGGGUCCCAUCAAAAAUUGUGCCAAAAGUGAGCCGCUCACUCAAUUUUUUCCAACAAUCCCACACAUGAAUGAAAAUUGGGAGAGACACGAAACGUGAGACACAAGACUUGGUGAUAAAGUUCAGCAGUUGAAUCCUGUAUAGGAUAGGUAGGUGUUACCCUUUGAACCUUCCCUUGUGAAAGCAUAUUUACUUUACUGACUAACCAGUAGAUGCGAUGUCCUUGAACUGUUCUAUCGUUUGUGUAAAUGAUGAUAUACCUCACAUAGGAUUCUUCAUAACACAAUCCAGUUCUCAUUGUUAUGUUCGUUUUGGCCAUGAACAUAUGCCUGGUUCUGUGAGAGUUCUUAAAAAUUGAGCCCCACACAAUUCUCUUAGAAAUGACCCACUUCUCUCUCACAUAAGUGAUUUCUUAUUACAAGUAACCCGUAUUACUUGGUUCGAUUUACGACGCAUAAGAAUCAUUAAAAGCAUAUUGCUUAACCUUCAACCUUACGGGCAUCACUAUUACUUCAUAGGAAUGGACAGGAGGUAAUACCCCCACAGUGAUUUUAUGAAGUCUUUACAGUUAGGUUUUCCCAUUGAACCUAGAUCUUGGGAUCUCCAUUGAACUAUGUUGUGUUUUCCUUUGUAAUGACUUAUUUUUUCAAGGGCUUAAAUCCCAUUCCUUUCGAUGAUUUCAUAACUAACUCUCUAUUUAACCCUUUGGUUAGCGGAUCCGCAAUGUUAUCUUUUGACCUUAUAUAGUCAAUAGUGAUAACUCCAGUUGAGAGUAGUUGUCUUAUGGUAUUGUGUCUACGACAUAUAUGUCUAGACUUACCAUAAUAUAUGUUACUCUGUGCCCUUCCUAUUGCCAAUUGACUGUCAUAAUAUAUGCAAAUUGCUGGCAUAGGUUUUGACCAUCUUGGAAUAUCCUCUAAGAAGUUGCGCAACUAUUCAGCCUCUUCACCACAUUUAUCUAGAGCUAUAAACUCAGAUUUCAUCGUAGAUCUGACUAUAACCGUUUGUUUGGAGGAUUUCCACGAUGUGACAGCACCACCUAAUGUGAACACAUAUCCACUCGUAGAUUUUGAGUCUUUUAUAUUAGAUAUCCAAUUAGCAUCACUGUAUCCUUCAAUGACUGCUGGAUAUCUAGUAUAAUGUAGUCCAUAGUCACGAGUAUAUCUUAAGUACCUUAGUACUCUUACAAUUCCUUUCCAGUGAUCAACUUUUGGAUUACUCGUGUAUCUACUCAAUUUACUGACUGUGUAGGCUAUGUCUGAUCUAGUACAACUCAUUAAGUACAUUAAACUUUCGAUAACUCUCGAGUAUUCUACUUGAGAGAUACUUUCUCCUUUGUUUUUAGACAGAUGUUGACUCGUAUCUAUUGUAGCCAAGCCAGUAUCAUCCUUAUGGAAUUUUCCUAAAAUUUUGUCUACAUAAUGUGACUGACUUAGAACAAGCCCAUUUGAUAUUCUUGAGAUUUUCAUUCCAGGUAUAACAUCAGCUAAACCCAUAUCUUUAAUGUCAAAUCUCGAGUUUAACAUAUUUUUUUAGUGGAUUCAAUCAUCUUAUUGUCACUACUGAACAAGACUUUUUGGACUGAAGUACCGUGCAAAAAUCAGAUUGAUGCUGUGAAAAAAGUACAAAUUUGGGAAGGCGAAGGUUGCACAGAGUACUGGGACGAUCAUGUCGUCUUGGCCUUUCUUCUCGCAUUCUGAGUUUUUGGUUGGAGCUAAUUUUAGUAAACAGUAGGCAAGAGCAAUGCGACUGACUACUCGAGCCGUGUCAACGGAGAUGACGUCAAUGUCAGUUCCAUCACUUCUAUUGACUGGGCCAUUGACAUCAAAUUAGUAUAUGCUGUCGUCCUCCAUCUUUACGCCAAUGGUUUUAUCCCAGAUGUGUCCGUUGCCAGUGUUGAUAGGGGAUGAGGUAAAUUUGGAAAACAACUAUUAUGCGACUACUCCAGUGGUGGUGACUGAAGUGGAUCGAAAGCAGAACAAUUCAGCGACUGCUGCUACUACGGAGAUGGCUGCUGAGGUGGAUUUGGAGGAGAGAGGUUCUGACAGUGAUGAAAUUGAGGUAAUAGAGUUGAAUAAUGGGAAGAAAGAGGAGGAAGUGGACAAUGGGGUGAGAAGAUAUUUGAAGGCGAUAAAGAGGUUUGGAGAUAGAUAUGAGAGGGAGAUGUUAUGAAACAAAAUCAAAUGGUGGAAUUGGAGGUGCAGAUAAUGCAUUUUAUUAAGGACUUGGAAGUUCGAAUGAUGAAAUUGUUAAUGGAUACUGUGGUCCAGCUCGAGAAGAACAAACAGGCCGAGCAAUCUGGAUCUUCUGAUGGUAUAGCUUCAAGAUCUUUCGUAUUUUGCAUGAAUGCUUUUGGGAUUUUUUCUAUUUAUCAAGUUUUGAUGCUUCAGGAUUUAUUGUCCAUUAUUGCAUCACGAGUAGCAUGUCCAAGAAAUUCAUUAGUAGCAAGCCAGUUUCUGAUUAUUAUUUGUUAGAUAAUUUCUUUAUUAAGUUUGGAUUCAUAAAUUAUUCUGUAAAUUCAUAUGUUCGAUUAGGUUAAUUCUCAAAGUUGUUUCUAAUUGAUAAACGAUUCAACUUCUAAUAAGCUUGAGGAAGAUGUGUAUACAUGUGUUCAUUUACUUUGGAUAUGGAAAGCUUAGUGCCAUGGAUGAGGAAAAGGACGUAUAUAUGACGACAUACAUGUUAAUAGAAGUCAAUCAGCAAUUUGUGGGCGCAGUUAUUGAAAGCGUGUAUAGAAGUUGUCGUUUUGUUGCUGGCUAAUGCUGCUUGAAUUUUAGUUUUUCUUUAGUCAUUAAAGCGCUCAAGGCUAAACGAAUUUUUAGCUAUUUUUAUGAUCUGAUGAAACGAAAUCUAUGUUUCAAGUCGUUUCUUGAAAUUAAUGCAAAUUAAUUGUUGGUUGCAUGUAUUUUUGUUUAAGCUUUGCUUUCCAAGAGUUAGAGGAAAAUGACCUAUAUGAUGACAUCCAAGUUGGCAGUCAGCGUUUGGGAGCUGCGAUAAGGUUAAGCAUGCAUGAAAGCUUGUAGUUUUAUAAUUGGUAGCCAAUAUUUGCUUUCUUUUUGUAAUUCUUUAGUCAUUAAAGUACGUGAGAAUUUAGCAACUCUUGGCUGUUUUUAUGAUCUCAUGAAAGAGUUUUUUUUUUUUAAGUUGUUGCUUUUCAUAAAAUUAGUGUAACUAAAUUUUUGAUCAUGUACGUGCAUGUGUUUUGCUUAUUUUGAACAUGACAAGCUUAACUCAAAGGAGUAGAGGAAAUGGACUUGUGUGAUGACAUCCAAGUUGGCAGUUGUUUGUCAAUAUUUGGGGGCUGCGAUAAAGUUAAGCGUGUAUGAAGUUUUAUUAGUGGUCAAUGUUGCCUUUCUUUUAGUUAUUCUUUAGUCAUUAAAGCACAUGAGAGUUUUGCAACUCAUGUCUGUUUCUAUGAUGAGAGGAAAGAAAAUUAUAUUUCAAGUCACUUUUCAUCAAAUUAGUAUAACUAAAAUUUUUGUCUUUUGCGCAUGUUUUUUAUUUUAUUUUGAAUAUGGCAAGCUUAACCCCAAGGAGUAGAGGAAAAGGACUUAUAUGACGACAUCCAAGUGGCGGUUGUUGGUCAGCAUUUGGGGGCUGCAAUAAGGUUAAGCAUGCAUGAAAGCUUGCUAUUUUAUUAGUGGAAAUGUUUGCUUUCUUUUAUUAGUUCUGCAAUCAUUAAGGCAGGCUAAUUAAGCUACUCUUGUCUGUUUUUAUAAUCUUAUGAAAGAAAAUUUAAGUUUAAAGCUGUUGCAUUUCAAGAAAUUAUUGUAACUUAAUUGUUGGUGGUGUGAUCGUGUGUACUUUUGUUUGGUAAACAUAACCAAGAGUAGAGGAGAAUGAUCUAUAUGAUGACAAUAAAGUUGGCGACCGUCAGUCUGUAUUUGGGGGUUGUGAUAAGGUUAAGCAUGCAUGACACUUGCUGUUUUAUUUGUAGGUAUUUUGUUUGUGUUUAGUUUAUCAACGCGUGUGAAUUUCAAAGCAACUCUAGACCGUUUUGGUGAUUUGAUAAAAGAAAAUCUAUGUUUCAAUCCAUUGGUUUUCAAGAAAUUUUGGUAACAUAAUUCUUGGUUCCUUGGCAAGUAAUAAAUUGUAAUUUGGUCGAUUGUCAUGUGCAGCAAUAAUUCUAUUGUAUUUUUGUCAAAAGUUGUCUUCAAACAUUUUCCUGAACCACUUAAAGAAGGGGCUGCUUUGGUGCAGAACCACAAUCAUGUAGAUUGUUAGGUUUUUUGAUACCCAAUAAAUCUGAGCAAUGAUGUUAAAUCGAUGUUGGAUAAGUUAUAUUAACACCUUAGUGAUAGCUCAACCCGGAAACAACUUGGGGUCAUUUUAAGCAAUUUAAUUGAGUUAAUGUUGCUUGUGGACCAACACUUUUGGAUGGCCCAAGUUGUGGAUUUGCAUUGGGAUGAUAUAUUGGUUAUUUGGAUUGUUGGCCCAAAUACCCUUUGGCCCAUUGGUUACCCUAAACUAACCUAUUAUAUAAACACUCAUCCCUAGCCAUUUUGUUGUGUGUUGGUUCUGUGAGAAAGAGAGAAAAACGUGAGUUUCUUGGUCGGCUUUGGAUCUUCUUCCUUAAGGUUCUAAUUGCUACUCUAUUUUCUCUCCCUUUGUGGCUUGCAAACCAAUCACCAACUGUCUCCUUUGUGGGGUGAAGACUUGUGGCAACUAAGUAAGAGUUGUGGGUCGAGUAAAGCUUGAUUGGUGUUCAUUUGGUUGAUGAAAUUGAGCCCGAAUUAAGAUUUUUUUUGAGAGAUUUCCGCGAUAAAUGUUAUUAGAGCUUGUGUUGUUAAGAGAUAUAUGUGGGCGAAAAUAGGCUGGAAGUAGUAUGAAUCGAGGCUGGAAAAUGGGAUAGAAAAUUGCCUAGAUUUGCAAAUUUCUGGCGGGGCCUGCAAUCGCAUUUUUCGACGAAAUUGCUCAUCAUAUGGCAAACGAAGACCACCAGUGGACUCAUCAAGCAGAGGCGCAGCCGUAGGAGUGGCACGUGGCCAGAGUCGCCAGCACCGACGUUUGAGGUAGAAUACGACAAAGGUGCCAAAAGACAGAAUAUUGCUGAUAACAAGACGAACCUGGGGUAUUGUCAGAUUUAAGUUUGGAGUAUUAAGGUGAAAGUUGGACAAUUUUGACCUUGGUUGUUCGGGUGUCGUUUUGUGUUGCUGUGAUUGCUAGUUACUUUAGGAUAAACAGUGAUGAUCCUAUAGUGGUGAAUUUACGUUUCUCGAUACGGACCUUCAGACAUGGUCCGUUCAAUAUCGUGCUCUUUACCUUUUAUUAUUGCAGUUAAAAUUAUAGUGCAGAGUAAUUAUUUAUUUUUCGCAUUAGAUAUCAUCGUGUGGGGUGAGGUUAGAUUUGGAGUUAUUGUGAAGAAGUAAUCAUUGCCUGUUGCUAGACUUAGGAAUUAUUUGUCUUAAAUUCUUUGUGAAUUCGUUGCCAAUUCUUCCACAUUGUUAGAAUUGCAUGUGACCUUAGGAAAGUUUGUUUGAUCAUUCUAUGUGAAUUAUGUCUAUACUUUUCUUGUGGUCAUUAUUUGGUAUCGUUGGCAUGUGUAAGUCUAAGGCAAGUGGAAAAAUAAAAUGUGUUUUAACUGUUGUAAAAUUGGACAUGGUAAAAUAGAUUGCCCUAGGAAUGAUAAUAAAAGAAACGAUAAGAAGAGGGGUGAGGCGAAUGUUGUCGUUAGGUCGAGUGAUGACCCAUGCGAGGUUUAUUGUGAGUAAACAUAGUUACUGCACGUGCAUCAGUGUAUGUGUGUGAUCACUUAAUUUUAUAGCAAUGUUGAUAUGCUACACUUUCAAUAUGUUUGAUGUGUAUAAUUGCAUGAAUUAGAGUGAUCUUGUUACUCUGUGUAACGUGUUUGCAUGCAUAGUGGAUUGAGUUUUGUGUCGUACUCCAUUUGCUCUGUGAGUGGUGUGAGAGAAUGGUAGUGAGAAGAAAGAUGGGUAGCCGUUUUCUCCUUUAUCUUUGUAAGCUUUUGUUGUUUGUGAGAUUGUAUGAGGCAGCCAGGGGUUAUCUUCUUUCUCUUUGUUAGCCUUUUUUGUAAGUGUAGUGAAGUAACCAACUCUUUCUUCUAUUUUUUUUAUGAAUGCCACUUCCACCAUUUCCUUUGUGGAUUUCUUUAGCUUUAGUGAUUGAAGUAACCUUGUAGUGCUUGGGUCAAUUUUAAAUUGAGCCCUAACCUUUGUGGUUUCCGAAAGGUAUUGUUUUGCCACAGUGGGUUUGAGAUGCAUUAGUAGUGUGUUGAGUAUCUAUUGGUAAGGUGGAGUAUAGAUGCUUGAAAGUGCAUUGCAGAUAUGCAUGGAGGAUGUAGAGUGUAAAAUUUGGAUCGCGAGUAGAGAGGUGAUUAAAUGUUGGGAUUCUUUAUCUGUGAAGAGACCAUAAACAAGUGGAGUGUAACAUUUGGAUCACAAGUGGAGAGGUGAUUAAAUGUUGGGAUUCUUUAUCUGUGAAGAGACCCUGUACAGGUGGAGUGUAAGAGAGGUAUUUCUAUCACUUUUAUUAGGUGGAGACCCAUUAUCCACGUAGGUUAAGAGAAGUGAUGUGGUGAUAAAGGAUUAUUUUGAGAAUUUAGGAUCUAUUGUGAUUUACUAGUUAGACAUGAGUUGAAUGAUCAGUCCAGUGAGCAUGGUAGGCGAUGAGAGAAGAUAUGUGUUCUGGAGGUGUGAGCAACACGGAAUGGGAUAGGAUAAGUAUGGUGAAAUUUUUUCGUGGGAAAUUUAUGCAUUUGUUGCACAUGUGUUUGAUCUUGUAUUUGAGUCAUUUAUGCAUUUGUUGCAUAUGUGUUUGACCUUUUAUUUGAUUAGCUUGGUGUAAUCUAUGGUUUUAUGUGAACGUGUUUCUGAAAAGAUCUAUAUGUAUUAUCCUAUAAUAUAUCGUCAUUGCAUAUUUAUUUGCUCUUGAUUGUUUAUUGUGAAUAUCUGCUUCUAUUUGGAUGUUCUUAAUCUUAGCCCUCGUGAGUACAUGGAGUAGGCAUGAUAUGUGUUUCAGGUUAGAAUCACGAGGUAAGAUUCGUGAUUCAAUUUUAUUGACUACCUUGAUUAUAUAAGUGCUAACUGUGUAUUUUGAUUGCUUGCAGAUUUAUUGGGUAUCAAUGUGGAGAUUUGUUGGGUUUUUUGAUAACCAAUAAAUUCGGACGAUGAUGUUAAAUCGAUGUUGGAUAGGUUAUAUCGACACCUUAGUGAUAGCUGGACCCAAAAACAACUUGGGGCCAUUUGAUGCAACUUAAUUGAGUUAAUGUUGCUCGUGGCCCAAUACUUUUGGAUAGUCUAAGUUGUGGCUUUGCAUUGGAAUGACAUAUCAUAUAUUGGUUAUUUGGAUUGUUGGCCUAAAUACCCUUUGGCCCAUUGGUUACCCUAAACUAACCCAUUAUAUAUACACUCAUCCCUAGCCAUUUUGUUGUGUGUUGGUUUUGUGAGAAAGAGAGAAAAAACGUGAGUUUCUUGGCCGGCUUUGGAUCUUCUUCCUUAAGGUUCUAGUUGCUACUCUAUUUCCUCUUCCUUUGUGAUUUGCAAACCAAUCACCAAGUGUCUCCUUUGUGAGAUCAAGACUUGUGGCAACCAAGUGGGAGUUGUGGGUCGAGUAAAGCUCGGUUGGUGUUCAUUUGGUUGAUGAAACUGAGCUCGGAUCAAGAUUUUUUGAGAGAUUUCCUCGACAUCUGCAUUUCUUAGUAAACUAGCAUCUCAAACUGAUGCCAACAUCUUGUGCGAUGAAACUUAUAGAGACGAAUAUGCUUUUUUUUUGUGGGAAAUGUUGGUUUGGUUUAUGACAGCAAUAGUUGUAGCUUAUAUAUGCUUUUUAUAUUAUUAGUGUUGCCUAGUAAUGCAAUGUUGAUACAUGUUCACUGCAGUCAUUAAUAUUUGAUGAGCUUUGAUUAUCCAUAGUAAGAAGGGUUUUGAAGGCUCAGUAUGUGAAAAGCAUGACCCAAGUUUGGUCCAUGCUAAAUUACAAAGAGCGUAAGAAAAAAAAUCAGGCGAGCUAUUUUUGUCAUUGACAUUUAAUGAAUAGAAGUCUAACAACAAGCACAGACACAAAAGUGUAUUGGUCCAAAUGACAGUGAUAAGCAUAUAAAAGUGAAAAGAAGUGCAUUGGUCAAGGCUCUAAAAUAUGGAUAUUUCAUAGUUCUUUUCAUGAAACUAUAGUCUAUUUAUUGUAUAAUAUGUUUAUUUGGUGAAACUCGAUGAAUAGAAGUUGGAAGAAAUAAGCGAAAAUUGACAAAAAGUGGCAAGAUUCAAAGUUUGGAGACUAAAGUGUAAAUACUCAAAAGUUGUAUAGAACCUCACGAUGAAGAUUCAAGGAUGCUAGGAGGUUAAUUGGGUGUAAUUAAAAGUCAAAAGAACUAAAAUAUGAUCAAAAUAAUUUCACAAAUAAAUUUUCAACUAUACAAUUAUGUUUCAUAUCUUUAGUCGGAGAUUGAGACACUUUUUUGCUGUAGUAAAUGUUUGAAUUAAAAAAAAAAUAUAUCUCUAGUAAAGUUGUAGCCCUUUAAGUUAUCUUCCAAAGCACAUUGAAUAGUCUUAAUCAAAUAUCGAAAGAGAAAAUUAUAACAAAAAUACUGAAUAAUGGGCAUCUUUGGAACUCGGCGCCACUAAGUAGGCUCUUCGGGAAAAAAAUAAAAAAGCAAAUUCGCGACAUCAAGGCGCCAUGGCACUAUUCGCUUCCUAAUAUGGUUUCCAAAUACAAUUCAUCUUUUUAAAUGCCAAAUUCAACUAACACGAGAACACGACUGUGUGGGAGAAAAACACAUAAUUAUCAAGAUCAAAGAGCAAAAGCUAGGGUUUGUAGACUUUUGAGAAUGAAAAUGAUUCUUAGUGCAAGAUCCAAUUGUUUCCAUCAUCAAAAUUUCAAAACCCACUUACGAACUUUAUACUUUUUUUAUUCAUUAUUAUGAGUAGUUAAAUUCAUAACUAGAGCAAACAAUGUAAUUUAUGUGGGACCCUUUAUUUCCUUUAAACAAGAUUCUAGUUCUUUAAAUGCAUUUUAUGUGUUGAUUUUAUUAAUGAAUUUAGUGCUUUAAAUUCUUUGGCCAAUUUUUCAAUGAUUUUAUUAAUCUAUCACGAUUUGAAAUGUGAGUUUUAGAUUUAGAUCACAUAGUAAAAUCUGGAAUGUAGAGAUAUCUAUACUAACCAUUGCAGCGUUAAAUAUAUUCUUAUUAUAUAAUUGCAUUUAAUUGAGAUUCAUUCACAUAGAGAUAUGAAAUUAAAUUAGUUAAAUAGAAUCAAUGAAUUGAAUUCUUUAGAAGAUUCGAUCGAACACUACAAUAGUAAUGAAUCUUGGUUAUCUAAUUAAAGGGAAUCCAUUGGUAAAAUUGUAAGACCUAGCAUCCACAUUCAUACUUUUAAAACCUAAAUUCAAUAAAUUGUAUACGUUAGAUUAAGUUAGUUUAGUUAGAAUCAUUUAGAUACCAAUUACAAACUUCGUUAUUUGUUUUCGAUCAAAUUAAAGUCAGGAAUAAUUUAACCAAUGGUUAGAUAGUUGUCCUCGUGGGAACAAUAUCCGAACUCAUUGAUCUGCUACAUUACUUGUUAUGAUUGGUGCAUUUGCAAGAUAUAAAAUCAACAACAAGUUUUUGGUACCAUUGUCAGAUACUAUUUUAUUUAAUAUUAGUUUAAAUUAUUAUUUACUUUUGCUUGAUUUUUUUUCCUUUUUCUUUUUUUAGAUGAUCCGUUUCCUUUUCAUUGCACCAUUGACAAUGAUUCAUCUUGAUUUGGAUGAUGGUCACGUGCUCUUUGGAGAAUUCAUUUUCAAACAAGAACUUAAAACGUUGGAAUACAAUCAACCUAUCCUCUUUGAUAACGAUGACUUUUUGAAAGAACUAAUUAUCAAAUCUAUUGCUUAUGGAAAGAUUAAACUGACAUGUAAAUCUUGUGGUGCAUUGCAUUAAACUGCUUGUUAUUAACAACUUCAGAUGAAGUAAGAAAAUAUAUCUUCAAUGGUCCCUAUGAAAAACAAGAUAAUGACUGUGAAAUAAUUACGGAAGACAUCAUCAUGGCAAAAUAUGAAAGGACUGAAGAUCAAGUAAUUUUAGAUGAAUCAAAUAAUAUGCCAAUGAAGGAUCUCUUUAUUAUUUAAUCUGAGGAACCAACUAAAGAAGAAGAACGUGGAGAAACAAAUAAAUUAAUCACUAAGGAACCAAAUGAACUAGUGGUGUUCAAAGAAGGUAGGAUUAGAAUGCAAACCUCCAAUUUCAUUAAUUUAGUGAUUAAAGUCGAUGAGGAAAUUUAAGUAUUCUUAGUUGAGUUCAAAUUGGAUAAUUUAGGCAAGUCAUACCGUAUUUAAAAUGGCAAAGUACGAUUUUGGAGGACGUGUGAAAUAUGAAACGAAGUCAAAUUGAACAAGUUAAAAUAGGACUUUCAAAGCCAUACUCAAAGUGUCAUAAAGCCCUUGUGCAAAAAUCAAACUUGAGACUAUAAGUCAAGAGCUCAUUGGGAGAAAAUCUAAUUUCUUACCCUUCUAUUUAUUAUGCUUUCUGUAUUUCAUUAUAUAAAGUCUAUUACAAUGCAUUAGUUUUAGGCAUAUUUCUAUUUCAAUAAAGAGAGUUAUCAUAUCGAUAUUAAGCCUAUUUUAGAAAAAAAUUAUAUAUUUGAGUAAAAAACAAUAGAAAAGACAUUUAGCAUUUUUUCAAAGCUUCAGGAACAUAAAAAAUUAUUAUUAUAAUACACGCCACAUUAUUGAUUUUAAAUUGCUUUUGAACUCUUAUAUUUAUCUUCGUUCAUUUUUCAAAGGUACAUGGAAAUUGAGUAGGGAUAGCUUAAAAAAAAGGAAUGAAUUGAUCCAACAAGCUACUUCAAAUAUCAGAUAGAAAAUCCAGGAGUACUUUCUUCCCUAUCCGUUAUAUGUGAUAUAUUAGACUUUAAGACAUUGAGACAACGUCUACAUUAAGUUUGAGGAUGGAAAAAUAAUGAGUUUUAACUUUUGUAUAUGUUUGUGUGUUUGUUACUUUAUUAAAAAUAAAAUAAAACAAAUUUUUCUUGUUAUUGUGUGCUUGUGUGAGUUAGGUAGCCUUGACUGCAAUGAUGAAUAUACUUAAAAUUGUGUUUUGAUUUAUGAACCGUGGAUAGGUCAUAUAUUUGGAUUAAUUUAUGCUUAGCCAUGCAACAUUUAAUACUAUUUGCAUGCAUGAAUUAAAUUUGACAUUAUGAAGAUUCUUGUACUUGAUAGAUUGAAAUAGUAUAUCUUUGAUACCAAAUCCCAAAAAAAAAAAAAUUACUAUAUUAUACAUCCUUAGACCAAAGUUAGCAUAGUUUGGGAUUAAUUUUACUGUUGUAGGAAGAUAUGGAUAUGGAUACGAAUGAGGAUUUCAUGUGUGGAUUGUCUAAAAUCAAUGAGAUGAAAUUAUGUAAAAAUUUUAAAGUUAGAAGUCGAAUUUUUAUGAAAUUGUGUUUAAUAAGAGACGUUACACUAAUCAUUGUAUAAAAAAGAAAAAGAAAAGAAAAAGAGUGAUCUUAUUGUGUAACAUCUUUUCAUAGCCUUUAUUAGCUGAAUUAAAUCUUACAGGUUGAAGCAAUAAAAAAUUUGGAGAAUCUUUAUUUACUGAAAAGUUAGCUUGCAAUUAGUAAAAUCCAUUUGAACUAGAGAGAGUGAGGAUAAGUAUAAAGAGUCAACCUUAAAGAACACACUGGGAAUGGAGUAAAAAGAACAAGUUUGGAGUUGUGUGAAUCUUACGGGUGAUGAAAGAAUAAAUUUGACCGUUGAGGGUUGAAAAUUGAAACAACUCAUGAAGUAUAAUGUUUUGCUUGAUUCUUCACACACACACAUCGAUUUUGGAUUGGAAAAGUUUAUAUUGAUUUUGGUAAUGUAACUUUGAAGUAGUUUAUAAAUUUAAUAUCAUGAUUUCAAUCCUGAAGCAAAAUGACAAGGUAUCUAGCCAAAAAUUUCUUUGCAUGUUUGGUUAUUUAUUAAGUAGGUUACGACUUUAUUUGAGAACAAACAAAUAUUUAAGUUUGAGGUUGUUUGAUAAGUGUAUUUUUAUAAAUUUAUCCAAGCUCUAAAAUAUGGUUAUUUCGUAGUUCUUUUAAUGAAAUUAUAGCUUAAUUUAUUGUAUAGGUGAAACACGAUGAAUGGAAGUAGAAUUUGAAUAAAGAAGCAAAAAUUGACGAAAAAUGGCAAGAUUCAAAAUUUGAGGAUUAAAGUGUAAAUACUCAAAACUUGUCUAGCCUCACAAUGAAGAUUCGAGAAUGCUAUGAGGUUAAUUGAAUGCAAUUAAAAGUCUCCUAUGAGUCAAAUAUGAUCAAAAUAUUUUUACAUAUCAAAUUUCAACUGCACAAGUAUGUUCCAAAUUUUUAGUCGGAGAUUGAGAUCCAUUUUUGAUGUGGUUAGUGUUUGAAUCGAAAGAAAUCUAUCUCUAGUAAAGAUAUAGUCCUUUGAGUUAUAUUUUCUAAGCACUUUGAAUUGCCUUAAUCGAAUAUCGGAAGAGAAUGUUAUGACAAAAAUACUGAAUAAUGGGCAAAGUUGGAGCAACAGGGUAGCGCCAAGGCAGCACCAAAUGGGCGCUUAUUCUCGUGGUGAAAAAAAGUAGAGCCAAGGUCGCAUGCUACCAAAUAAGGUUUCCAAGUGCAAUUCAUCUUUUUUAAAGUACAGUUCAACUAAAACUCUUCCAAAACUUAAAGAAGACAUAAAUACAACUAGAGAACAUAAUUGGGAAAGUGGAGAGAAAAGCACAUAAUCAUCAAAAUCAAAGAGCAAAAGCUAGGGUUGGAAUACUUUUGAAAUCGAAGAAGAUACUUGGUGCAAGAUCCAAUUCUUUCCAUGAUCCAGAUUUUAAAACUUAGCUAUGAAUGCUAUAUUUUUUCCUUCCAUUAUUAUAAGUAGCUAAAUUCAUAGCUAUGGCAGGCAAUGUAAUCUAUGUGUGACCAUUUAUUUGUUUUAUUCAAAAUUCUAGUUCUUUAAAUGCAUAUGUGUUGAUUUUAUUCAUAAAUUUAAUGCUUUGAAUUUUUUGGCUAAUUAUUCAAUGAUUUUGUGAAUCUAUUAUGAAUCAAGAGGUAAGUUUUAGAUUUAGACCACACAGUAAAAUUUGGUAAUUUAAUAUAACAUGUAGAGAUAUCUAUACUAACUAUCGCAGUUGUUAGAUGGAUUCCUAGAACAUAAUUGCAUUUAACUAAUAUUGAUUCACAUAGAGAUAUGGAAUUGAAUUACUUAAAUAAACUCAAUGAGAACUCGAGGGGGGUAAAUUGAAUUAUUUAAAAGAAUUCAAUUGAACACUACAAUAGUAAUGAAUUUUCAUUAGCAAAUUAAAUGGGAUCCAUAGGUAAAAUUGCAAAUCUUAGCAUCUACACUUAUACUUUUAAAACCAAAAUUUGAUAAAUUGUGUACAUUAGAUUAAGUUAGUUUAGUUAGAAUAUUUUAGAUACUAAUUACAAACCUUAUUAUUUGUUUUCGAUCAAAUUAAAUUAGGAAUAAUUUAACUAAUGUUAAAUAGUAGUCCUCGUGAGAACAAUAUCUAGAAUUAUUGGUCAUUAUAUUAUUUGUUACUAAUCGUACACUUUCGAGAUAUAAAAUCGAUAACAGAUAGUCUCCAUUUCUUUGUUGGAAUCCCAAAGGUUCUCCUUCCUCCUUAUUCUAAGGGUAACUCUUUCGAAGUAUAGCUCUCGAAAAUGAAUCUUUUGCUAAAACAUUAAACAAACUCUAUGCCUAUAUUCUACGAAGCUAUUGUUCAUCGAGCAUAACAAUAGAUUAAUAUAUUGAACAUGCACCAAGCACCAAACUACGGCAUACCUCCUGCAGUGUCUAGCUUAACAAACUCCUGGUAGCUUUCGACUAUUUUAAGUAGUUUUUCUUAGCUUAGAUCGAAAAUAAUAGCUACCUUAUUGUGGCCUAUUUGCUUUAGACAUGUUCUAUUCCAAUAACUUAUUGGUAUGUGCUUGUUAGAAUUUGGGUGUGACUCGAAUUCUUUGUUGAAAAUAAUUGAUAGUUCUAAUUAAAGUACACAUUAAGAGAAAUUCUAUUAGAAUGCUUUUGGAAUUAUAUUCGAAGUCUAUUGGAUAAAUUCUAGUUGAAGUUCUAUUCGAAAACCUAUUAGGAGUUGGAAUUUGUGUUUGGACAUAAAAGAGGUCAAGAUAAGAAAACUUUUGGGCGUUCUAUUUUAUCUACAACUUUAUUUUUAGAGCUUGAAUUGUUCCCUAUAUAUAUUUAGCUUUUCUCUACAAUUUAGUUGGAUUGUUUAACCUCAUUAAAAGUUAGACAAAUUAUAAAUACAAAAAAAUUGUAUUCUUUCUUUAUAUUAUAAUAAAAUAUCUAUCUUCUGCAAAUUUUUUUCUUCCUGUUUUCUUGUGAUAUUUACUUCAUAUAAUUGUCUUAAUCUCUUAUCUUUUCAUAACAAAUUGGUAUUGAAACUGUUUUGUUUUCAAUAAAGUGGUUUCAAAUUUAGUCCGAUUCAUAACAAGUGGUAUCAGAGAUUAUAGUUUUGAAAUUAUUGGGAAGAUCGAGAUUUUGAUCAAGUUCAUAGCUCAACUUGAUUUUUUGUGAUGGUAACUAUGAAGUUUGAUGUUCCACUAUUGGAUCGCAGUACAAGAUUUUCGUUGUGAUAUAUUAGGAUGCUAGCAGUACUCACUUAUAUGGGAUUGAUUUUGUUGUGUUUUUUGCCUGCUUUAUAUUUGUUGUUUAAAGAUACGAUCUUAUAUAGUCUUGAUCUCACCAUUGAAAAGUCUAUGAUGCUCUAUUUUCAAAUGAGAAAAUAAAGCAUAUUUUUUAGGUUCAUGGAGAAGGCAUUGUUUUUUAUGGUAGUUGUGUAAGGGGUAAAUUAAGGUCUAACUUUCAAAUUUAUUGCAAGAAUUCAGGGCACUUAAUUAAGAACUACUAUAAGUUGCGUAAUAAAGAAGAUUUGGCUGUAACUUUUCAGAAGGGAAAGCAAUUAUAUAUUUUAGGUGAGACCAUUAUUGAAACUUUUCACGGUGAUGGAGAGCUUUUACUUAUGUAUGACUACAACUCUAAUUUUGACGAUGCUUGGAUUUUGGAUAUAGCUUGCACUUUUCAUGUCACCCAAUCGGGAAUUGUUUUCUAUAUAUGAAGAAAUUUCAAAAGGUGUUGUGAUAAACGGUAAUAAUACACCUUAUAAGAUAGCUGGUAUUGGCCGAGUCAAAAUAAAGAUGUUUGAUGAGACAGAACACUUCACUACAAAAAAUAAUCAAUUUCGCGACAAAUAAAUGUUGUCACAAAAGUAAUUGUUGCGGGUUUUGUCGCUCUAUAUGAGUCACGGAAUGUGUUCUACGACACCUUUUGACCGUUCAUCGCAUUAACAAAAUCACGACACUAUUUGUGUGACACAGAAAAUACGAAAUGGCGACACAAUAUUUGUAGCCAUAAUGUCGUUGCAAUGUAUAUAUGUCGCAAAAAAAAUUUAAAGGAUGGCAAUUCAGUUUGUCACAACGAAUAUUCCAAUAAAGUUUUUAUGAGAAUUAUAUUUGUUGCGAAUGUUAAGUCACCGAAUAUUUUGCAACAACUUUAGAAUUUGGACGUAGCCCGAAUUCUUUGUUAAAAAUAAUUGAGAAUUCUAAUUAAAGUGUACAUUAAGAGGAAUUCUAUUUGGAAUGCUUUUGAGAUCCUAUUCGAAGUCUAUUGGACAAAUUCUAGUUGAAAUUCUAUUUGGAAGCCUAUUGAAAAUUGGAAUUUGUGUUGGACAUAAAGAGAUCAAGAUAAGCAAAUUUUUGGGCAUUAUAUUUUAUCUAUAACUCUAAUUUUAGGACUUUGAAUUGUUCUCUAUAUACAUUUGGCUCUUCUCUACAAUUGGGUUGUUUAAUCUCAUUACAAAUUAGGCAAAUUAUAAACACAAAAUCUUUUUAUUCUUUCUCCAUAUUACAAUAAAAUCUAUAUCUUCUGCAAAUUAUUUUCCUCUUAUGUUCUUGUGAUUUUUACUUCACAUAAUUGUCUUAAUCUCUUAUCUUUUCAUAACAAAUUGAUAUCGGAACUGUUCCGUUUUCAAUAAAGUAGUUUUAAAUUUGGUCUGAUUCAUAAUAAUGCUAGUGAUUUCAAUUGUUGUUCAUGAUAACUCUUCUAAAAACACACUUCGAUUUUGGGACAUAAUAAUGAGAAAAGGCCGAUUUUGGUCCAAUUCUCGGUUCUACUAUGAGAACCGACGGUUCUCAUGAUUUAUUUAUUUUUUGAUUAAAUUAUUGUCCCUUAUGACACGGCAAUGAAACUUUCCUUCAUUUUAGAGACUCGUCAGUUUCCUUGUUCCUCUUGGAUUUUUUCUCUUUUUAAUUCUUAUAAUUGUUUGAUUGAUUGAUUAUUUUCCUGCAUUAAAUUUCCUUAUUCUAUUUGAUUGCUUUCCUUCAUCAAAUUUUCUUGUUUCUCCAAAGUCGAUCGGAUUCGGCCUUCAACAUUUGAAGAUUAUUGAAGUCUUGAAGAUAACCCGGUAAUGUACUAAUUUUGUAUUUUUUUUUUUGGCAUAAUACCUCAUUAUUUGUUGAUUUUCAACUUGUACCCUUUGUAUUUAUAUUUUUUUCGAUCUUUUAUUGGCUAGGCUGGGAGUGAAAUUGUUAAAUAAGGGUAAAUUUAAUAAAUGAUUGGCUAUGCUGGGAUUGUGAUUUUCUAGUGCGGGACGACGGGAGUGGGAGAGGGAGAACUAGAGAAGAAGGGUGAGGGGUCAUAUUGAGAAAUUCAUUUAUAAAAGUAUUUAUAAUUUUUUCCGAUCAAUUCAUGAAAUGUUUAUUGAAUAAGCAACUCAUUGAUUUGGUUGUUGGGUCUCUUCAAUAAUUCAAUUAUUGUUUUAAGUUUCUCAGGAACUUGAAAGAUCUUAAAUCUGACUGAAUUAACUUUGAUAUGAGCAGAAGAUUCAAACAUCAAUGCGGUUGGAUUGGAUGAAUGGUAUUGAUUUUAUUUAUUUGUGAAAUCAUAUAUGUAAAUUUGCAUAAUCUUUGUUGAGUUUUUCUUUUGAUGUAGGCUUAUCAGUCAUUAAUUCUAUGAAACUAAGCUCAAAUCCAGCAAAAGUUGGAUUAAUCGUUGUUUGAAGUUUAAUUGGGAUUGGGGGGGUCAACUUGCCCAUCUGGAGAGAGGGGAAAUCGAGUUGUUUUACUUUUUUUUUUUCAUUAACUAUAAUAAUCUAGUUUUAGUAAUAUAAAAAAUUGAAUUGGAGUGUACUGUUUUGUGUGUGUAAAUAAAAUGUUUAGCUAGAAUUUAAGCUUUCCUUUCAUGAAGGAAAACCACAAAACGGGAUGUCCUUGACAAGACCUUUCUUUUUAUUAGCUUCUUUUAGUGUAUCUGCGCACAUUUGUGAGUGUGAAUUAAAUAUUUGUAUACAUGAUAGUUUUCCCAUAUUCAAUCUAAUUUUCAAAAUCUAUUAUGGUUAUUGAUUUUAGUGAAUCUGUAACAUUGUUACAAUGCCAGGGUUCAUGAGUAGGCAAACACUCCACUUAAAUGGCUUUUCCUCAUUCUCAUCCACUUAUACGUUUCUCUAUUCAUUCUGUGUUAUUGUUGAUUCCAUAAGUUUAUUUCAUAUUUUCAUGUGAUUUGUAUAUUGUAGAUAAAUAUCUAGAUGACUGAAGAUAAAAAUAAUAAUAAUAAUAAUAAUAAUAAUAAUAAUAAUAAUAAUAAAAUCAAAGUAUGAGAUCAGAAGUAUGGUCACAUUUGACUAAGAUACAAAGGGGGAAAAAGGUAAAAUGUAAUUACUGUGAAAAGUCUUAUGCUUGUGAUUCCAAUAAGACUAGUACUUCUGGCUUGUGGAAACACUUUAAAAAUUGCCAAGCAAAUAAGAGUAUCAAAAUAGAUGAAAGACAAAAGGUACUAGCAAGACAAUUAAAUGACAAUGAUGGUGGUGAUGGUGGCAUUGCCAAUAUUACUGUUUUGGUGUUUAACAAAGAAGCAUGUAGGAGGGCAAUGGGGAAAAUGAUUAUUGUUGAUGAAUUGCCAUUUAGCUUCAUUGAAGGUGUCGGGUUUAGAAAAUUCAUGAGAUAUGCUUGCCCUAAGUUUGAUAUUCCAUCUUGUAGAACAGUCGCAAUGGAUAUAUUGAAACUUUAUAGUGACGAAAAGGAAAUAUUGAAAGGUAAACUUAUUUCUAAUAAGCAUAGGGUGUGCCUUACAACAGAUUGUUGGACAUCAAUACAAAAUAUUAGUUACAUGGUUAUCAUGGCCCAUUUUAUUGACAAAAAUUGGGUAAUGUAUAAGAAGAUAUUGAAUUUUUCGAUGGUUCCAAACCAUAAAGGGGAAACAAUUAGAAAACUUAUUGAAACGUGUUUGCUUGAUUGGGGAAUAGAGCAUGUGUCCACAAUUACUAUUGAUAAUGCAAGUGCAAAUGAUGGGGCUAUUGUCUAUAUAAAAAAGGUGUUAAAGAAUUGGAAGGUUGAUGGGAUGGUUUUAGGUGGUUCUUUUAUGCACGUAAGGUGUUUUGCACAUAUAGUGAAUUUAAUAGUAAAUGAUGGGUUGAAAGAGUUUAAUGUGGCAAUUGCAAGUAUUAGAAAUGCUGUGAAAUAUUUUCGAUCAUCCCCUUCGAGAUUAGCGAAAUUCAAGAUUUGCAUAGAGAGGGAGAAAAUUGAAUGCAAAAAAUUGGCUAUAUUAGAUGUACCUACUAGGUGGAAUGCGACAUACUUGAUGUUAAAUAGUGCGCUUAAAUUUGAGAAAGCAUUUGAUCGCAUGGCAGAGGAAGAUGGUUUUUAUUGCAAAUAUUUUGUUGAACGUGAGAACGGGAAAGAAAGAGAAGGUCCACCUACUACAGAAGAUUGGGAAAAAGGAAGGAAGUUUGUUAAGUUUUUGAAAACCUUUUAUGAAACCACUUUAAAAUUUAGUGCAUCUUCGAGUGUGACCUCGAAUUUAUACUUUCAGCACUUGUUGAAAAUAUUUAGUGAUAGGCAAGAUCCUAUAUUAAGUGAUAUGGCAAAAAACAUGAAGACCAAAUUUGAUAAGUAUUGGGGCAGUGUUGAGAAAAUGAACAAAAUACUGAUAGUAGCCACAGUGCUUGAUCCUCGGCAUAAGUUGGAGUUUGUGGGUUGUAUUGGCCGCUUGUAUGACAAUAUCUUGGUUGAAUCGACAAAAGAUGAAAUCAAGAAUUUAUUAUAUGAGUUGUAUAAUCAAUACAAGGGAUGACAUAAUGCAUCUAUUUAAGGAGAUGGUGGUAUUUGUGACUUCAAUGACAGUUUAGUGGAGGUAGCUACAGAUGAUGAUUGGGAUGAGUCCAACAAUUUUGAUUUUGGGUACAAAAAUUGAAAAGUAGCCACACUGAUUUGCUAGGAAAAGACGAGAUUCAGAGAUACCUAAUGGAACCCACUGAGGACUCUACUAAUCCAAAUUUUGACAUUUUGACUUGGUGGAAGUCAAAUUGUCCAAGAUAUAAAAUUUUGUUCGAGAUUGCAAGGGACGUACUUGCAAUUCCUAUUUCUACAAUUGCUUCGGAGUCAGCAUUUAGUACUGGAGGGCAUGUUCUUGAUUCAUUUAGAAGUUCUCUAACACCUAAAAUAGUUGAUGCUUUAAUUUGUACACAAAACUGGCCACAUUCUACACUUUUGGGAGACUAACUUUAUGGAGCAGGUGUUGAAGAGAUAGAGUUUCAUGAAAAAUUGAUUCCAUUGGAAACUGGUAAUUAGAAUAUCAUUUUUUCUUCAAGCUUAUUAGAUUGUAUAUUUGUUUUUAUUUAUGUUUCUUUUAAUAGAGAAUUUGAGAUUUUGUAAGUUUCAAUAUAAUGUAGAGCUAGUUAAGAAACAUACUCACAUGAAGGAUGAUUCAAUGGUUGUGGAACUUGACUGAUGAUCUAAAGGUAAGUAUGGCCACAAUCAUAUUUUAUAUGUAAUUUCCCACAUGUUUGUUAUAUUAACUUUAACUUUUGUGACAUAGAAUCAAUGCAAGAGGAUUGAUUGAUUCUUUAAAAGGAUUGAUGCAGAUAGCUUGGAGAAGACAUUGACCAAAUAGUUCUUAAGUUCAAUUUUUUUAUGAUAGAUUGUUAAUUUUUUAUUGCAAUAUGGAAUUCAGACAUUGGAAUUGUUAACUUAUUGUUCGAAAUUUAGACCCAUGUAACAUUAUUCACGAGGAAACUUGAAAUUUGAAAUCAUUUUUAGUGAAAAUUUGUUACUUCAAGGUACUUAAUAGAAAUUUCUGUUUAAUGGAAGUUUGUUUAAUCGUUAGAGUACUAUGCAGUUUAUAUAGGUUGAUGAUUGCUUGAUGAUAGUAACUUAUAUUAUUUCGAUAUUGUUUUUCAAUUUGUAUACUUAAUUUUCUUUUAAUCUUUGUAUAAUAUGUUCAGUUCUUCUAUAUUUAGUUAAAAGUAUUGCAUUGGUAACAUCUCCAGAUUUUUUUAUUAGUGAACAUUAUGUUUUGACCUUUUUAAUGCAAAGAACCAGACCGGACUGAAUCAAAAUCGGUUGGUUCAGUUCCGGUUCAGCUCCUAAGUUGGUUAUGAAACCAAUGGUUUCAUUUCUCAAAUUUUCAUUGGUAUUCGGUUCGGCCCGGUUCCAACCGGACCGCUCCCACUUUUAAUUUUAGGACUAGAAAACUUAAGAAAUAGUAGUUCAUAUCAUUGUAGGUACGAGUCUUGAACCAGAGUUUUAUGAAAAGGGAAAAACGCUUUGCAAACUGUUCGACAAAAGUUUUAUGGUCUCAUGGGAAGGCACGGCUAGUCUGGUAAUAUAGACUGGCCAUGCAUUGUCAUGCAGGGGCCACUUCAAAACCCGAAAAAAUCCAAUUUUUCACUUCUAGUUUUGUAUGAUCACUUUUCUUGAGUCAUUUGCUCGCAGUGGAAUACGGAUGUUUACAGCCUUUCAUGUUGGAUUCUGCUCAUAAAGAUGCCAAUUUUCGGUCGGAUUGAGGCUUUUCAAAUUGUACUCUACUAAGUAGAAGAGUGAAUGACAUUGAAAAUGGGGGACAAUACGUGUCACGCUCUGAUUAUAUACGCCUCGGAUACCGAAGUGAUCCGAGGCCGAGAUCAAGUGGACCCCUCGCAGCACCAAUUAUACCGACCUAAAAGCAACCCUUCUGAAACUUCUCCGAAGUGAUAUAGCGAUUCCUACUACUAGUCUGCCGAAGCAUCUCACGUCCGAGGUCGAGAUCAAGUGGACCCCGGUUAGAAGAUCAGCCGCCAAUUUGAGAUUUGUCCUACACCUAAGGCUUAAAUUGAUUUGACGUCUCCAUGAGGCUAGUUGAUGUGACUUAUCAACUUUACGUCAAUUCAACUCAGAGGAAACAAACUGUCUGCCCACUCUACAAACGCGGCUGAUUGACGCCUAUGAGCAGACGCUUCAUACCGUCAGAUAUAUACACGCGUCCCACAUCCAACAGUUCAUACCACCUAUAAAUACCCAAGGUUUGGCAAGAGGCAAAGGUAAUGAAACUCUUAAUACACAGCAUUCCAUAACAAGUUUAUAUAUUUGCCUCCCCCUUUAUUGAUCGAUUUGUAUAGUCUCUGGGUACUGUUCCGAUCACCCAAACCUGACUUGACCGUCGGAGUGUAUACGGCCGCCACCACCCCCGUUGGUUCCGGCCAUGUGCGCCUGACUAUUUGUUGAUUGUGUGUAGGGAGGAAUAUGUAGAGCAGCUUUCAAUUGGCCAUGUGGAAGGACCAAUUUUCGAGGUCAACAGAUUGGCGCCGUCUGUGGGAAGCACUCCCCAUUCGAAAUUUUGCGUUCUCCAUUGGAGAAGAUACCGGGAAACCGGCGACUAACCCUGAAAAGGGGGCAUUCUUGAAAAAGAACAAAGUCGAGUUACAAUCCAAGUUCUUACUACCCUUGAAAAAAGAGGUAGGAUGAGCUACAGCCAUGAAGACGACAAUCCCAUAAGAGAGGCCUUUGAAGAAGAGGUACUCCAUAACAAUGUUACUCAUCAGAGCCCGCAUCACCGGCAUCGCCGAGGCGGAAGAACAGCCAUACUCACUGAAGGAAUGGCUCAGAUAGCUGCGGGUAUGAGAGACAUAGCAACUCCAAAUAUGGCUAUGCAGGAACUCCUCAUGCAAGCUCAGGGACGCCAGAGCUAUCAAAGGCCCCAAGGAUCUUAUCCGGUGCAGGAAAUCCCUUUAUCCCACUCUCGGGGCCACAUGAGUCGGCACACAGAAUGCCUCCUCGACAGAGAGAUGAACGCUGAAGCAACAUCUUAUGUGCAAGGGAGUCAUCCAUCAGAACCACCCUUGGGGGACAACUUUCCUCAAGAACACGACGACCAAAGGUCGGUAAGCGUCUUCGACUGGAUAGGGGAGGAUCCUAGCAAUAGGGUCCGCCCAACAAGAGGAUCAGUUCGUCCAGAUUGCGAACAAGAGCAUGUUCUCCCUCCUCCUCCUAGAAAUAGGAGGGAGAGGAGAAACCUAGUCGAUUGGAGGAGUCGAGGAGAAGCACCUCCACUGCCCCAGGACAUCCAAGAUGAUGAAGGGUCAGAGGGGCCCUAUCGAUCUUAUGAGAUUGACGACGAUGACGAUAACCUCCCUUUCUCAAGGGAGAUUCGAAGCUUCCCAAUGCCAGCUAACUUCAUGCCCCCUAAGAUUCCCAAGUAUGAGGGAAAGAGGGAUCUGGAGAAGCACCUCACAAAGUAUAUGACACAAAUGAGCCUUAGAGGAGCCUUGCCUGCUCUAAAAUGCAGAGCCUUCCAUUUAACACUAGGUGGAGCCGCCGAGGUAUGGUACAGCAGGCUUCCUCCCCUAAGCAUCCGAAGUUGGCCAGACUUGAAGAAAGCAUUUUUAAACCAGUAACUCUCACGCAGGGAAGGAGAGGCGCCAAUUCAACGCCUGCAAGACAUGAGGCAGGCCCCUGGAGAGACGCUAAAAAACUAUCUCGCCAGGUUUACAGACGAAAUUACUUACUACGAACAGGUCACUGACAGGGAAGCCCUUUCAGCCCUGAAAGGUAGGCUCAACAUGAACACUUUGUUUUGGAGGGACGUGCGCAGCAAGAAUCCCUCCACAUACGACAAGCUGGUGGAAAUGAUGAGAGUGGAAAUUGUUAGUGAAGAAAUAAUUGAUCAUCGCAACCGUGCCACGCAGGGGCUCCCUCCUCCUCAGAGGCAGGUAGGUAGAGGCCCCACAACACCUUGUUACUCAGCAAUGGACCCAAGCAGGGCAUAUCAUAGCUCCCACAUCUGGACAGGCCCUAGCUUCCGCCACAUUGAAUGCAGUGCCGGUGUUGGCAUUUGAUAAUGCCCCUACUGAGGCGGGACCAUCUGGAAGAACCGAUAACAAUAAGAAGAAGAAAAAGAGGCCAAACAGACCCUUGGCAAGAGCAAGGUUUUUUACAUUCCAUCAACUAUACGGACAUGACACCAGCGAGUGUCGUGAUGCCAAUCGGCGCCCUGAUCGAAGCAACCCUCACACUUCCAGCAGAAAUGAACACCCUCGCAGAUUCACCUCCCCGAGGAGGAGAGAGAGAGGUCACCAGGAAUAAUCUCCUCGUAGAAGAGAAUCGAGGAACCGAGGCCAAUCCAGGCAGGGGAACCAAGCCCAAUUUUCGGGAGGCCAGGUCAUCAGGAAAAUUGAUACCAUCAUUGGGGCACCCCACCUCGGUGGCAACACAAGGAAUGCCCAGAGAAAUUACACAAGAGAAGCUAAGGAUCCCCCGAUGAUCACUUACAUUGUUGACGAAUAGAAAUCAGCAAACAAGAUGGCCCCGAUCACCUUCUACCAGGAAGACUCAGAGAGAGUUCACCACCCCCAUUGCGAUGCUUUGGUUGUAAGAGCCAUAGUAGCUAGAAACGGAUUAAAACGCAUGCUCGUUGACAAUGGCAGUUUCGUGAACAUAUUGUUCGGCUCCACUUUUGACAAAAUGCAAAUUGAACAUGGGUUGAUUCCCAUGACCGACUCACUAUUCGGAUUCACUGGGGACAGCAUCAUCCCACGAGGGCGGAUCACCCUGCCUGUGGAAAUGGGUUCAGCACCCCUAGUCGCCCAACAUUUCAUGGAAUUUCUGAUGGUAGAUCAUAGAUUGGCUUAUCAUGAAGUAUUGAGCAGACCCGCCCUGAAAGAUCUUUGGGCUGUGACGUCCAUUCACUAUUUGUGCAUGAAAUUUCCAACCGAACAUGGGAUUACAAUAGUCCGGGACGAUUAGAUGGGCUCCAGGGCAUGCUACCUAAACUCACUGUGCAAAUUCGAGCCCCGAACUGUUAAUGUAAUCCUAGCCGGGUACGUCGAGGUACCCGCUGAAGUUGGUACGGACGUGAAAAUGCUCGACGCCCCUGAAUAAGGGCAUACCUCUGAACAAGAGGAAGACGUCGACAUGGAAGAGGCCCCUGAACAAGGACACCCUCUUGAUGAGUUAGACCCCCGAAUCAUCGAUUAUGAACCAAAUGCGACCCCCAUGGAAGAAUUGGAAACUUUCCUCGUCAACCCGGAAGACCCCAAUCAAGUCUUGCGUAUAGGGAAGUCAUUAUCACCCGAAGCAAAAACUGAGAUGAUACAUUUUCUGAAAGGAAACCUGGAUGUCUUCGCAUGGAAACAUGAAGAUAUGGUGGGAAUAGAUCCUAGGAUUAGUUGCCAUCACCUUAACAUCAACCCCUCCUAUGCUCUCCAUAGACAGAAGAGGCGCACCCUGAACCCGGAACGGUACGAGGCACUGAAAGACGAAGUAAGCAAACUUAGCUACAGUGGUUUCAUCAGAGAGGCCAUAUAUCCGAGGUGGAUAUCCAACCCGAUUCUGGUGAAAAAGUCCAGCGGGAAGUGGAGGGUAUGUGUGGACUUCACAAACCUAAAUAAGGCGUGCCCCAAAGACAGCUUCCCACUUUCGAGAAUUGAUCAAUUUGUGGACUCUACUGCUGGGCAUGAACUACUGAGUUUAAUGGAUGCAUACUCAGGGUACAACGAGAUACCCAUGUUCCGACCUGAUGAGGAAGCUACAUCAUUCAUUACGAACAGGGGCUUGUUUGCUACAAUGUUAUGCUCUUCGGAUUGAAAAAUGCCGGGGCCACAUACCAGAGGUUAGUCAACAUGAUGUUUGCCGAACUCAUUGGCAAAACCAUGGAAGUUUACGUAGACGACAUGUUGGUCAAAAGCCUCCAGGCAACCGAACAAGUGAGUCACAUUGACCAAACCUUCCAGAUACUCAGAAAGUAUAAUAUGAAAUUGAAUCCCCUCAAGUGAACUUUUGGAGUGGCAUUAGGUCAGUUCCUGGGAUAUAUCGUAAAUCAAAGAGGAAUUAAGGUAAAUCCGGUAAAGGUAACGGCCUUACUAGAAAUGAGGUCACCUCAGAAACCGAAGGAGGUCCAAAGUCUCAAUGGUCGGAUAGCCGCACUCAGCCGCUUCAUCUCCAGAGCCAUUGAUAAAAGCUUCCCUUUCUUCAAUGUAUUGAAGCAGGGAAAGAAAUUCUAAUGGACUUCAGAGUGUGAAGAAGCCUUCGAAGCUCUGAAGAAGCACCUCGGGGAAGCAUCCCUCUUGUCGAAACCUCAACCGAAUGAAUCUCUAUUACUGUAUCUAGCAAUUUCGGACGUGGCAGUCAGUGCAGUCCUAAUCAGGGAAGAAAAUAAGCGUCAAUUACCAGUGUACUACAUCAGCAAAGCACUUCUCCCAGCUGAAACACGCUACCCAGACAUGGAAAAAUUGGCACUUGCACUUAUCACAACCUCAAAAAAGUUGAGGCCAUAUUUCCAAGCCCACUCAAUACAAGUUCUCACCAAUUUUCCUUUAAAGCAGGUAAUGCAGAAAACAGAAGCGUCGGGACGCCUGCUGAAAUGGGCCAUCGAGCUCAGCGAGUUCGAUCUAACGUUCCGACCUAGACACGCCAUCAAGGGCCAGGCUCUUGCUGAUUUUAUGGUUGAGUUUACCAAAGCCCCAAAAAUGGAGGCUAUAAUGGAACCAGCCAAGCCCCCCACAUGGAAAUUAUUCGUAGAUGGGUCCUCAGGAGAGGCUGGCACAGGGGCAGGGAUCGUGUUGGAGAGCCUGGAAGGCCAUAAGCUAAAUUGUACGGUAAGGUUCGGCUUCAAAGCCUCGAGCAACGCAGCCGAAUACGAGGCCCUUCUGGCAGGUCUAAGGCUCGCUAAGGAAAUGUGGCUCAGGAAGCUCCUAGCAAGCAGUGACUCUCAGCUCGUAGUAAAUCAGGUAAACGGGAAUUUCACAGCCAAAGAUGGUAACAUGCUUGCGUACUUGAAGUUGGUUCUGAACAUAAUUCCCCAUUUUGAAAGGUUCGAACUGACUCAAGUCCCCCGUCUAGAAAAUGCACAUGCAGAUGCCCUCUCAAAAUUAGCCAGCAGCAUGGACUCAGAGCUGCUAAACAUCGUCCCCAUUGAGCACUUAUCAAAGCUUUCCACCUCCGAAGGCGAAGAGGUACUGUGGAUAGAAGGCACCUCAUUAUGGAUGCAGCCCAUAAUCACGUACCUGAAGGAACAAACACUGCCUGCUUCCAGAGGCGAAGUGAGGAAACUAAGGAGAAGGGCUGCACACUUCGUCCUGCAAGAAGACACCCUUUACAAGAGAGGCUUCGCUUCGUCCCUUCUUCGAUGUGUAGGCGACGAAGAGGCCACAUACAUACUCAAAGAAAUACAUGAAGGAAUCUGUGAAAAUCACUCCGGAGGAAUGGCUUUGGCACACAAGUUUCUCCGUCAAGGCUACUUUUGGCCGACUCUGAAAAUGGAUGCUUGCCAAUUUGUCCAGAAAUGUGACAAGUGACAGCACUUCUCGAACGUACAAAGACAGCGUGCUCAGAGCCUCUCUGUAGUAUCAUUCGCCAAGUGGGGCAUCAACUUCAUUGGUCCACUCCCAAAACGGAGAGGAAGCGCAACUUUCGCCAUUGACUACUUCACUAAGUGGGUCGAGGCAGAACCCCUUGCCCGAAUUACCGAGGCUAAUACUACCAAGUUCGUUUGGAAAAACAUCAUUUGUAGAUUCGGCAUCCCCCACUCCAUAGUCUCUGAUAAUGGGCGGCAGUUCGACAAUAGGAAGAUGCGAGACUUAUGCGACGAAUUGGGCAUAAAGAAGGACUUCUCGACACCUCAUCACCUCCAGGCGAAUGGGCAAGUUGAAGCAGUGAACAAGACUAUCAAGCACACCCUGAAAAGGAAACUGGAUACCUCAAAAGGGGACUGGGUUGACGAACUCCCCCACGUCCUCUGGGCUGUCAGGACGACUUGCCGGACUGCAACUGGUGAAACCCCAUUUUCCAUGACCUACGGAGCCGAGGCAAUGAGUCCGAUCGAAAUUGGGGUCCCAUCACAUCGACGGAUACAUUUCAAUGAGAUCAACAAUGACGAGGCCCGAAUAAACGAACUACACCUUCUUGAGAAAAAGAGAGAUACCUCUCAAAUGACCCUGGCAAAAUAUCAUCGAAAGAUGACCCGCUUUUACAACUCCAAGGUCAGAAACAGAACUCUCCGCUUGGGCGACCUCAUCCUCAGAAGAGUUUUUCAAUCUUCAAAACCAACCGGGUCAGGAGUUUUCGGCCCGAACUGGGAAAGCCCUUACUGCAUCCGAUGGGAAUCCCAACCUGGUACCUUCGAAAUCAAAGAUAUGUCAGGAAAGCCGCUGCCUCAUAAGUGGAACAUCGAACACUUGAGGAAGUACUACCAGUGAUGAGAUGCGUUCCGAUCCGAUCUCAAUAUAUUGUAGCGAAUCAAUUGUCCCGAUCUGAUCUCAGUUGUAAAAUUCCCUAAGUGAUGGAAUCGCCUUUGUAAAGGGUGGUGUAAUUUAUCUUAGUAAUGAAUUUUCAGUUCCAAACCACAUCAGUUAGUGAAUAGUUUCCUCAGUACUUCAGACGGUUCAUUUAAGGGAUCCGAUCGUCAAUUAUUAGCUGAUUAACAUCAAGCAGCUCUUCAUGUUUCCCUAAUUGGUCUGAUCUCGGAUUAUUAAUAAGUUGGCAUUAAGAAUCGCUUCAUACUCGUUUAAGUGUUUAAACUUAUGUUAACUUAAGCGGUCCGGUCCACAGUUAUUAAUUGGUCAUUGUCACAAGGCAAUUAGUCUAACGUCUGUCGUUCAUACAAGUGUAACCAAAGAAAAUACAAAGAAGCAGAAGCCCAAAUACAUAACAAAAAUUUCUCAUUUCAUUUCAUAAAUUUAAGUACAUUGGGGGCCAAAGCCAUUACAAAAUAACCCUAGUAUGUUGGAGGGACUUCAGCACUGGCCUCCUCCUGGGCCUCCAGAGCCUCCUCGACAACCUUAUCAGGCCGACCUCCAGUUGGCCCCCCAAACUCUGCCUCUAAUGGAGAGAUGUCCAGAGUGGAAUGCACCUCCUUCAGUUGACCCAGUAAGCUUUGGGCACUCCAUGAGGCCUAGAAGUUGGCGAAGUCGUCAUACAGGGGAUGGUCUUCGAAGUGGUCAAUAAAGUUCUGGACUGCCACCUCCCCCGCAGACUUCAAUUCCUCCUUCAAAGAGGCAAUCUCCUCUGACUGGGCCUCUGUCUGCUGCCUCAGCUCUGCCUUUUCGCUAUUGGAGGCCUCCAGAGCAUCGGUGGCGAGCUUGUGGUGCUCAUUGGCGUGAUUAAGUCGUCGAGUCAUAGCAGCCACUUGGCAUUCCACCUCAUAGAGCUCUUUCUUCAGCCGAUCCACAUCUGCUUGCGCAACAGUAAGCUGGGCCUCAGCAGCUUUCUUCCCCUCCUCUGCCUUUGUGGCUUUGGCCUGGGCCACCCGCACAGCAUCCCCAUAAUGCAUCGCCUCCUCGAGGCGCUUCGCGAGGUCCUCCUUCUUAGAGUUCAGAUCCUUCACCAAGCUCUCGAGCUGGAUGCUUGUGCUUAGGGCCCGAGCCACACAGGCACUGUUCGCAGCCACCAGAUCUUCAGCCGUGCAGGAGGCGGUGUGGUCCCUCCACUCUUCUGUCCAAUAUUUAUUGUGGACCACCGCCACCGCAGCUGUUUCGGGAAGAAGAGCCUCCAACACCUCCCUUACGAGCUCCUCAGGAUUGGUGCCCAGGAAAUCAACCUCCUUAGAGGGACGGGGCCUUUUUCUCCUCGCUGCCCCGGAGUUUGAUCAAUGGGCACUGCAGCAAGGGGUGCUGUGUCCGGGGCAGCGACAGGCUCAGUCGGAGCGGGGCUUCUCUCCGGGAGGGCCACCCCGUGGGAAUGGUGGUCUGCCUCAAAACUGGGGGUGGUCUCGCCAUAGUUGGGCGUCUGGGAGGGGCGGCACUCUUCUUGCCCUUCCUUCAGAGGUCAGCCUCCGGGUCCUCCUGAACUUCCUCCUCCGUUGGAGGCUGGAGCCUCUUACUGGCCUCCACCAACUCCUCCAUUUGCCUUUUAUACGAGGAGGAGGAGGCCUUCAGUGUCCGUGCCUCAGCCAUCAUUUUCUGGAUGGUCUUGAAGUCGGGGCGCACUGGCAGCUUCUUGUUAAAGUUAUCUGCAAAGAAACAAAUAAGGAAUUAGUACAAGUCUAGGGAGUUCGGAAUAAAAAGUAAGGACUUCGGUCCUAUUACCUUGAGACGCCAUUAAAUCGUGAGUAAUAAAAUGGAUGUUCUUCCGAAUCAGCCUGUGGUAGGACCUCUUCUUCUGAGGCAGCUGAUAAAUGACACAAAUGGUGUCGAAGUCCUCCGUUGAUAGCUCACACCGAGGAAGAGAACCUACAAAGGAAACAUAACUGUUAGACACAAGUCGAACCGAAGAGAAAUAAAAGAAGCAACUACUAUACUCACUAAGUGUUGAAAACUUCGUUGGAACUGUAAGAGGCGCUAGGGGGUCCCCCUCCAUCGUGUCCCAUCGCCCUGCUGCCCAACACCAUGAGCUCUUCCAUUCUUUGAUGGAGCUCGGCAGAUCGACCACGAAUGGAGUGUGGGAACCCCAUAACGUAAGGUAGUACCAACCCCGGGUCUUAUCCCCCCCGACAGUAACCUUGGGAAUAUAGAGGGUCUGAAAAAUGGAAAGGGACAUCUCCACCCCUAAUGACGCCUCUUUCCACAACAUUCAGGAGCCCACCAUCUAGCUCCAGGAGUUCGGAUUGAGCUGCGUCGGGGCUAGCCCAUAGGACCUAAGCACCAACCUAAAGAAUUGGUGGAUAGGCAGCCUAAGUCCUGCCCUAAGGAUCGCCUCACUAAUGGCCACACAGCUCGGCCUUGGGUAACAGGCUCUCUCUUCCGGCCUGGGGAGGAUUAAGUCUACGCUGUCAGGGAUCCUAUACUCUAUCCUAAGUCUACCCAGGUCGGCCUCCCUUAAUUUUGAUGGGUAGUCCGAUGCCCCCCAAUGCACAGAGGUAUCUGGUGGGCUAUCUGGUCGUUUCCAUAUGUUCUUCCCCCUCCCCUAUUAUUGCCCCAGCUAUUUUUGAGGAGGUCGCCACAAUGGGCUCGUCCACCCUCACUAUUUCUAAACCCCUCCCUGCACCAGAACUCCCAUCCGAGGCCAUUUUUUAAAAAUUUAAAAGCCUAAAUAGGUGCUGAAACUUACGGGUUUGGAGGUUUUCCUAGCCGAAUAUGGUGUAAGGUCGCCGGAAGCCUAGUUUUUCUCGCCGAAAGUCUAGUUUUUUCUCGCCGAAAUUGCUUGCAAAACGCCGAAAAUCGCCAAAAAUUUGAGAGCAAAGUAUAAUCUUAGUUUUGCAAGGGUAAAAAGUCUGAGAAAACCCCAGAGUCCUCCUUUUAUAGAAAAAACAUGUCCGAUCUCCACCAUUGAAUUCAAAUGCGAUCAAUCUAAGCCGUUCGUCGCAUCCUCAAUCUAGGCCAUUGAAAUGAAACGCCAGAUUUGAUCUACGCCCAAGAUGUCGCUGUGACUUUCACGCUAACUUGAAACGCGUCACCUCGGUUACAACCAGCCGUCAAUAAUAAUUAGUAGCCGCAGCAGCCUUUUAGGAGAAUGGGCAUGGCACCCAACUGUCACCUUGAAAACGCGCAACAGUUGUCAAAUCAUUUGACGUUUGGGUCGCCUCGGAUUGAGCUCCUGCUCCAACUUUACAAAGCUUGGACGCACCUGAUGCGAAGGUCCUAUUGGGUCAUCGCCUCGAACGCUGUGUUUCCUCCCAUGUUUCACAAAGUUUCAGCCAUCUUCCCACGCGUCGACCUUUCGGGUCAGCGCACCGGUGACAGAUGAGCUCCUCCUCCAACUUUACAAAGUUUAGACGCACCUGACGCGAAGACCCUUUUGGGACAUCGCCUCGGACGCUGCGUUCCCUCCCAUGCGUUACAAAGUUUCAGCCCUCCCAACGCGUCGGUCUGUGGGGUCAGCGCACCAUAUUCACGAAGCUUCGGUGCACCUUACGCGACGUCCCAUGCUGCUUGACCACCUCGAACGUUACGCACAAUAACGAAGCUUUGACACAUCUGCCUAUUAUCAUGACCUCGAUUACUGCGACGGAUCAACCCCCAAAACUCCCAUGACUUGCGAUCCGGUCAGGAAAGCAAGUCCACGCAUGAUAUAAAUAUUCAUCCCCGGACUUAGGGGACCACUGUCACGCUCCGAUUAUAUACGCCUCAGAUACCAAAGUGAUCCGAGGCCGAGAUCAAGUGGACCCCCCGCAGCACCAUUUAUACCGACCUGAAAACGACCCUUCCGAAACUUCUCCGAAGUGAUAUAGCGAUUCCUACUACUGGUCUGCCGAAGCAUCUCACCUCCGAGGUCGAGAUCAAGUGGACCCCGGUUAGAAGAUCCGCCGCCAAUUUGAGAUUUGUCCUAUACCUAAGGCUUAAAUUGAUUUGACGUCUCCAUGAGGCUAGUUGAUGUGACUUAUCAACUUUACGUUAAUUCAACUCAAAGGAAACAAACUGUCCGCCCACUCUACAAACGCGACUGAUUGACGCCUAUGAGCAGACGCUUUAUACCGUCAGAUGUAUACACGCGUCCCACAUCCAACGGUUCAUACCACCUAUAAAUACCCAAAGUUUGGCAAGAGGCAAAGGUAAUGAAACUUUUAAUACACAGCACUCCAUAACAAGUUUAUAUAUUCUCCUCCCCCUUUAUUGAUCGAUUUGUAUAGCCCCUGGGUACUGUUCCGAUCACCCAAACCUGACUUGACCGUCGGAGUGUAUACGGUCGCCACCACCCCCGUUGUUCCGGCCGUGUACGCCUGACUAUUUGUUGAUUGUGCGCAGGGAGGAAUACGUGGAGUAGCUUUCAGUUGGCCACGUGGAAGGACCAAUUUCUGAGGUCAACAAUACGAACAGUGAAAUUAACGAUGAGAAAAAGAGUAUUACGAUUUCUUCUCUUUUUUUUUUUUUGUUUUUCUUUUGGCGGAUUAUCAAUUUGUGCAAACAGGUCAACUUAUGGUCGGGUUUCUAGAAGAACUUGGAUAUAUAGGGAAAAUGUUUUUAAAAAAAUGUAAUAAUAAUAAAUUUUCACCUUAAAUUAUUUACAUUAUAGCGUAUUAAACAUGUAUCAAGGAAUUCAUAGCUAUUGACAUCCAAGGCUAAAGAUUUUUAGGCUUAGUAAGUUAGAAUAUAUAAAACAAUAAAAUAUUGAUCACGGUUUUAUCAGAUACUGUAUGGAUAUCCAAUACUAAAUGUCAAACAUGAUUAGUACGUACAAGGAAAAUCUUAAGUCUUCUUCUUUAUUGUUCCGAGCGAGGAUAUUUAAAACUGAAUGUUUUGGGACUUAUAUGUAACUCGUGAAAUCAAGGCGCCGGAUGCUACAUAGGGUAAAAGUGGCAAGUGGGUGUGUCUUAAAUAGGUAAGAUUGAAUGCAAGUCUUUUUCUGGGUCAAAUUUGAAGAUUAAGUAUUUCUGUUUUAUUAUCAAUAUGAGUAACUUUGCUGUUUAAAACAUAAACUUGAGAAAUUAUAGGCUUGUUGAGACUUUAGAGAUGGAGAUUGCCACUCUCAAGGCUUUAGGAUGUGUUUUCUUGUACUUUUCCAGCCUUCUCUCUUGUAUUCUUUCAGAACCGGGCUAGAUCUACAUAAAUUUUUUCACAGAAGUGCUCCACAACUCUCACAACAAGGGUGGGUGGGUGAAUUUUUUACCAAUUUGUUAUCACCACAUGUAGGCCACUAAUGUGAGUUCUCUGGCAGAGUUCUGUACAAGGGGCUUCGGCUACUCUUGCAAGUAAACUUGAGUAAAAUGUAUUCAGUUGUAGUAUAUUCUUUUCCUUAUAUUUGAAUAUUGCAACUCCACGGAGGUAAGGUUUCCAUUCCCCUCGUACUAUUUUAUCAAUAUAUUAGGGUGAAGGACAAUGCACAAAAUUGCCAUUUUUGUUAAGAUAAGUAGGGCUAAAAACCACUAUCUUAUUUGAUUGAACUUCGCCGAAAAAGAAGAAGAAUAAAGCAAGAGGCCAUGACAAUUUCCCAUACACUGCAAAGCCAAAUGUAUUCAAAAUCAUUUCAAAUUAAACGUGAAAAUAUAGAUCAUGUAUCUAUAAAAACUAAUAAGUAGUAUGUGACCAGAGAUAUUACAUUUUGUUCAUGGAAAUUGAGUAAUGACUUGAAAUACGGUAACUGUUUACUGUAAUUUACAAUAUUCUAAGAUAUAAAAGCAUAUCUAGGUAGCCUCUUUCUGCGUGUCUUUUUUAUCAUUAUUAAUAUAAUUUUCAUAUUAUAAGUAUUAAACAUUAACUUAAUAAUGACUACAUUCAUGUCUAAACUUGAAAUAAAAUCAAGUCUUGAAGCAAGGCUUCCUCUGUCCCUCUUCACCUCCAACCCUAGUCACUUGCCAAUCUCAAUCCUGUAAGAAGAGUUCAAGAAUGAAAAUAAGUACUUAGAAUUUGAUAUUAAGUGAAAACAUCUAUAAUUAUGAAUGGAAUAUUAUAGAUAAAGAGAAGUAGAUCCUUUUAUUUAGUUGCGAGUGACAUAUAAAUUACUCGAGCUUUGCAAACUAGUGUACUGGAGAAUUGGUACAUCCUAUAUGGGUUUCUCCUUACAGUUAAGAGUUCAGAACACAAAAUCCCAGCCUAAAUUCAUGAAUGUCGAUACAUUCACGGAAAAAAGUUCCCGGGCAGCAAUCUUCUAUGCUCGUUCCUAGGAAAACUCUGUAAACUUAGCCAAUAUAAGUCCGAGUGCAAGGAGUUUGUACUAUUUCUUUGUUUGGAGCUAUGUAAGAGUAAUGAUCAACAAGCUUGUGUAGGAGAUCUUACCAACGUCAUAGCUCUAAUUUGAGCUCACCGUGUAUGUAUUCAAUGCCCCAUUACUGAUAUCUUGCUAUAUUAACUGGUGUCAUUUAACCUCACAGAGUUAAAUCGUUAAAGAGGCAUCCUUCGUGAAUUUCGAGGAUGGUCAAGAUGUUAGGGUACAAUUUGCAAUCAACCCAACCAUUUAAAACAUAAAACGAACUUUCAUUGGACAAUGCCAGAAUCCACUAAAUUUCCCUGGAAGGUCAUAUAUACACAUACCUUAGGGAAGAACCACAAAAGUAAAAAAUUCAUUAGUUGAUCUAGAAUUGAAAGAUAAAAAUAACCUUUUUUUAAGACUAAGAGCUCAUUUUUAAAAUGUUAACCAUAUUAAGAACAGAAUUCAAGCCCUUAUAGGUCAGUUAAUAUUUUUGUACUUAAUUGAUAUGAAAUUUAUCCUUAACAUGUCUACUGAUGACUCGUUUGAGAAUACAAAUCUUGAAAUCUAAAUGCUUCUUUGAGGUUUAAACGGAUCAAAUUGCUUAUUUGAAUUCUAAUAUCAUAUUAAGAUUUGAAGUCCAUCUUGUUUAGAAGAAUAAAUGAAGCUGUUAAUAUUUUAUAAUUUAAACUGUGUGAGUUGCACCCCUUAGCAAUACUAUAAUAAGACUUGAUGUUCCAUCUUAAGAUAGCAAUCUUAUUAAGAGGAAUAGAUCAAGCAUAUAUAAUAAAAGUCAUAUGAAAUUUUAUUAAUAGAUUUCCUACCACAACAAUUUGUAGAAGAUACAUGUUAGGUUAGUCAAACCACUAGCAAAAUUAAAACCUAAAUAUAAUAACUGCAAACAGACACACAUGCACUGAUGGACACAGAUAAUGUCCAACAAGAACAAUGCAUAAAAAGGAGAACCAGAUACCCUCUUAGAAUAAACAAGAAAUUAAAUUGAUAAAUGAGUUCAAGCCAUUUCCACUUGGCUUCCCUAUAUUCCUAGAUUUUAAUGAAAUAAAUGUUAUCUCAAGGCAAUCUAAACAACUUGUAUAUAUAUGUUGAACAAUGAAAUUAUUAAAAUUAUAUAUUUAAGUCAUGAUUGGAUUUAUUUUUCUACCAAAAGUCUGACAAGCGAAUAAUCUAUGGCGAUGAGACCAGAACUCAAGACAUAUGUAGCACAAUAUUACGAAUAAAUUCGAGUUUAUUUUUCUUUAUUUGUCCUAUUCAUUAUUGUUGAAUUCAAGAUAGCAAACGUGUAAAAAAAGCUUGAGCUUUAUAUCGAUCUUAUUGCAUCAAAUAAUUGAGCUCUUAAUGGUAUAAAGAUGCUCUCAAGAUAUGCAAUAAUUAAACUAAUGAUUAGAAUUUGUAGGGAUAGAGUUAUAAUCUAUUUAUAUUAUAGAACUGAGCCUACUAGUGAUUGAGACUAUUGUACCAUUACAUUUUCUAAUUGAAAUCUUAAGUAUUCAUGAAGGUACAAAGUAUUGCUAUUCUAAAAUUAAAUCUCUUGGUGGAAUCUCAUCAUUAGAAGAAUCUAUACAUGACAAAUUUCUAGAUUUUGGAAAUCUCUAUCAAAUACCAUGAUUGGAGAAACAAGGAAGAAUUCCUAUCAAUGCCUUGAUUGGAGAAUAUGAUCACAAAUUUUAACUGAUUAUAGAUGGAGUAAUUAACUCAUCAAGCUCUCCAUAUAAUUAAGAAGACAAAGAACUUUGGUGGGACAAAGACACAAGAAUGUGAUUCAUUUUGUUCCUACUGAAGGGUGGAUUGGUUCAAGAAUAGAGGUUGGUUUUGGGUGGGUGGUUCAAGAGCGUGAUCAAGAUGAUGAAGGAGAUACUCAUGGUGAACAAGUUUGUCGUGCAGUUCUUCAAACAAAAUCAACGAAUCCUGACAGAGAAUGAAGCAGUACAAAGAGUUCCUUGGGCUAAUCACGUCAUCUAAAAACUCAAGUUGUUGCACAAGAAACAAAUAUUCAUCUAAUCUUGUCUUCAACAUGCCUUUCAUGUACAGGCCAGAUUCAUUGUUUGAUCAAAUUAUUGACAUAGAUACAAUUUUCGUAAAUGAAUAAUAACAAGACUUAGAAUUGGUUCUUUUACCUGAAUGUAGUAUCAUGUUAACCAUCUCAUCUAAAAACUUAAAUAUUAAAAGAAAAAUAAUUAAAUCUUGUAUUCAACACUUUGAAUGCAAGUUUGAGAUAUGAGUAUUCAUCUAGGAAUGGUCUUAAUGGAUAUCAAAAAAUCCAUCAAAGUAAAGUGAGACAAUUUGUCCUUGAGAUAGAUGACAAGAGAAAUAAGAUUUCUUUUUGCAAAGCGUCGAGCAAAACGGGACUAGCUGUUGGUUGGACCAAGCAAAUGAUACCAACCCAAUCACCAUUUUAGACGAGACAAAGAUCCCUUCAAGAUGAAUUAGUCUUGAUGGUUCCAAGCAAAAUAAGCUGGGAUCGACUACAAUUACUAUAUGAAAUCUUCUAUUUUAUCCCUUUCCUCCAUACCUAUUGAUAGGGCAUGUGAGGGAACCAACAAGUUAACACAGCAAAAUCAAUACUAUAUAGAAGAGGGACUCGAAAAUAAACACAUUAUUCUCCACCCUCCAUAUGUUCCUCUCCCAAUUCUUUUAUACUGAUAUUCUAUAUUUCAUUAUCACUUCUUUCGGCCCAAUUGAAAUCGAAUGAAUUACAUUUGUCUGUAGGUAACAAUAAAAGUUAUAUGUUUUUUUAAUGCAAGACACCACUAAAUACAGACGUCGGCGAGGACAAACAAUUUAGCCAUGAACAGAAAUCUCGCAAGUCAAAUAAUUAUAUACGUACUAGGUACAAGUUCAAGAAAUAAUUGUCUUGAAUUUGAUGAUGCGUGAUUAUUUAUUGAAGAAGAAGGCUUUUUGUAUAUAUUCUAAAUGAUUCAUAAUAUUAUUCUAUUCAUUGUGCUAAACAACUUAUACCUCAAGUUGUAUAAAAUUACACAGACAGGAUGACACACUACAAAAUCAUUCAUGGGGCACAAAAUCUUCCCGAAUCCCAAAAUAGGACAAGAUACAAGUGAAAAGGGAAACAUUCUACCAGAGACUAAAUAAAUAAAAUGAGAGCUUUUAAAAAUUUUAAAUUAACUAAAUACAUGUGAUCUAUUUCAAACUGUUUAAACUUUAAGAUGAGAUGGUUAACAUGUUAUGAAAGCGAUACACUGUAUUUAUCUUCAAGUAUUGCUACUCCCCAUUUAUGAAAACUAUGCACAGUCACACUUUUGAUCAAAAAAAUGAAUUUGAUUUAAAAUUAGAGGACGUUUAGAAAACAAAAUUUAUAUAAAUAUAGGUGAUCCGUUCUUAAAAGCUUAGGUCGUUAAUAGAAAGCUAGAGCGGGAGAGAGAACUAGCUAUAAAAACAGUCCUAAAUAAGUACUACUAAAACUAGCAGCUGGUUCUAUUAAAAUUAAUCCAUGGGAUUAGGGUUUUUGGGAUGUGGAUCUAGGGUUUCUUGGUAGUAUAUAUAUAACACAGAAUAUACGAUUGACUUUGUCAUGUGGUCCUGAUCAAGAAAAUCUAUUUUGAUGUGCCCAUCAUUUUUAAUUUUCAUUUUUCCUAUGAAAUUAACUGUUUCGUAUCCUUAAACAGUACAGAAAUUUAACAAUAAAACCCCACAAACAGGAAAACAUAAAUUCACUUACCAUUUUUCGUCUUCAGACAUCAUUAAAAUCAGCUAUCUGGAUUAUUGCUUGGAUUAAUGUUUAGCUGCUCCUCUUGUGCCUUGUGUGGAUUGAUAAUUUUCUUCUUUUUCUUCUUCUUCUUGUACGGAAUUCCUCUAGCCUUAGCUUGACACUCCUUCACUUUCCUCAGAUACAUACGGAUUGAUCCAUUCCCAAACGGGUUCGACUCAGGUGAUCCGCCGUGUUCUUCGUAAGCGGCUCUUAGCCGUCCGAUCAGUGCAUCAAGGCUACCCCAAGCUUGCUUAAGAGGACAAGUACAGGGUGCAGGAGGAUCAGGUUGUCCAAAAAACACACAACCUUGUAAAUGAACUUUAGUUUUCCCAAACUGAUCGAGGUACUGGAGAAAUUCAAGAACAUGGUUGCAAUUGCACUGUGAAACUGAAAUUGGAGGUCUUUGAUUCUUUAAGUACUGUCCAAAAGUGUUCCAAUCCCUCCUCUUUUGAGACUCAUAUCUGCUUAGAGGUGGUGCCGGUGGGGGCUGCUGCUCGCCGCUGGAUCUAAUCGAUCCUUCUGCAACGUCAUUGGACAUCAUCGUUGCAGAAGAAUUCAUGUUCAUAUGAAGUCCACCCUAAAUUUAUAGAGAAUAGAACUUCGAAAAUUCUAGACAAUUUUUGGCAAUAAAUGGGUUGAAAGAAAUGGGGAAGGAACUUGAAAGAAAAUGGAAUGGUUCAGUGGAGAAAGAUGAACAUCACAUCUUCGGUCUAUUGAGGAGACAUUUUAUGGGCCCUGGGAGGUGCGUCUGUUCCGCCUUUAUUUUUUUUCUCUCUCUAUAUCUAUCUAUAUAGAGAUAGAUCUCACAUGCACUCAUUUUAAAAUUUCUCUUUUUAAUAUACUAAUUUAGAAUUACUUUUUCAAAUUACAAUCCAUUAUUUUAAAAUGGAUCAUAAGUACAAUUAUUACUAUGGUCAUUAGCAUUAGUCAACAAUUUAUAAUUACCCGUGACUUAAGAAUAGAUGCAACUUCUCUGUUCACACAAAUUAGCAUGUUUCAAAGAGAUUCACAAAGGUUUCUUGCUUCAUGUUUAGCUAAAGUUAUAAUUUCAUUAUAAUUUUGCAAUAAAUUCAAAAAUUAAUAUUAAUCAAUACAUUCAUAACAAUUACACCCUUAUUAUCUACACAUUUAAUGAGUCACACUCCUUAUUUUCGUUAACAUACUAUUAUAAUUUCUCUUUAACAUUCAGGUUGCGUUAUAUCGAUGUACUUAGAAUUUUUUUUUUUUUUUUUUCCUGCAAAUCUGCCCAAGACAGAAAUUUAUUGGUAAAAAAGAAAAUAAAACUUUAGAAGAGACGUGUCAACCUUAAUUUCAAAAGCAUAAAAAUUUCUCGAGAACUCUUCAUUUUGUUGUCAAUAUUUCAAUGAAAAGACUGGCUGCUAUUGAAAAAUGCUAAAAGAUUUUAGUAUUGUUUAUCAUGAAAUCAUUUUUGUCAAAAUGGGUCUAGAGAAAUAGUAUCAGAAUCAACCUGAACCUACCGAAGCACUCAAAUCCGAUUUAAUUUUGACAUUCAAUGAUAUACACAUUAUUUAUAUCACAAUCACUACUCAUGAAGCAUUAUUAACCUACAUUAAUAAAAUAUUAUCCCUAAUCCACUGCUAAUUAUAUAUAUUGGUCAUUGGUGUAUCUUUCUUAAAUAUACAUAAUACGAAGUCCUAUUAUUAGUAAAUUUACAAUCAAAUUUUGUGAAUUUGUUUUUCUUUUAUUUUUCAAAUAACAAUGUCACCAUCCAGGUCGCAACAUUAGCAACAUAAAGCUUCUUUUGUCACUACUAGUACCAAACUGCAUGGGAUUCACAUUUUCGCAACUAUCUACUCUCAUUCCAUAAAGCAAUUCAAGAGGAGAACAAGGACAACAUAUUAUCACUAAAAGUUAGACUAUACGAGGCUUAGUCCGAGCUCGAUAUUAAAAGGUCGAAAGCAAAAGCGUUUAUUGCUUUGAAUGGAAAACCUAGAUGAAUGUCGGUUCCUAUCAGUCUACUAUGGUGACUCCAAUCCCAAUUAGUGACGGAGUCAGGGUUUUGGCAUAAGGAGGAAGCAAUUGUUGAAGUGGCAAAAUAUACAUAUAUUGUGUAUUUACUAAAAAUUUUAAAAAUUCUAUGUAGAUUUUAAAAAAUUCAAAAUGUUGUAGGGACAGUCGCCUCCUACGCCCCCUUUUGGCUCCAUCACUGGCCCUGGGCAUAUUUACCAGAAGAACCACGGGAUGUAGGAAAAUGUAUGAUUAUGAAAACACAGCUUGCUCAUGUAUUAUGAAUUAUUAAGGUUGUCAAAUAUAAAUGGAAAUACCAUUCCCACUUUUGUUGCAUUUCGGGAGUGGGUUAUGGUGGACUAAUGAGAAUUUAUUUUUUUCUUGUGGCAAAAGUAAUAACUUUCAACUAAUCUUGUCUUAGUAUUUAUUCUUGUGUUGCUUGCAUUGGAUCUUACCUGAAUUAAUUAAUUUUUGUUUAUAUUAAUUAAGAAAUCUUGUUCAUAUGGUCUUGAUUAGAAAAUAAAUAGCAUCCAGGUACUUACUAAAAGAAUCUACAAUAAUUGAGACAUAUUUUCCAUUUUCAAAAAUAAAAUGCAGUCUUUAGUAUUUUUUUCUUCUCUUAUCAUUUUAUGUUAUAAGUUUCAUUAAAAUUAGUUGUUUAUUAAUUUUACUACCAACUUAUCACAAAUGAUUCCUUUACAAAAUUUUAAAAAUAUUUUCGAAAACAAAAUUAUCCAGUCGAUUCAUCCCGAUGCUAUAAUUAGUACAUUGAUCCUGGAAAACAGCCCAAAAUCAAAUCAAUUUACAUGUUAAGAGGGUUUUUGACACCCAUUUUGUUGAAAAAAUGAAUUUUAAAAUAGUAUAUUGAUGGAGAAUGUAUGAAUGAAAAAUAAAGAAAAAGUUUUUUUAUUUACGUGUAAUAUUAUUUUAUUAAAAAAUGUAUGAUUAAAAUGAAGAGAGAAAAUUAUAUUUUAAUAAAAAUGGGAAUCAAACGGGUUUAAAAUUUGAAAGUUGAAACUUAGCCCAUUUUUAAGCCACAUUCUAGGGGAAAAAAUGAAUUAUUCAUGUCAAAUCAAUGGGAAUUGUGCGGUUAAAAAUAAGGAAAAAUUCUAGAUUUUCGUGUAAUAUUAUUUUAUUAAAUAUGUGGUUGAAAUGAUGUCAAAUCACUAUAGAAAAGUGUAAUCUUUUGAAAAUAAUGUAGCUAAAAAAAUCUCACAGUAAAAUGGUCUCCGGACUGACAAGUUCACCUAGAAAUUCGGUGAAACAAAACCCAUUAUAUCCCUUCAUUUUAGAGGGGGGAAAUCUUGUUUGUUUGUUAUUUAUUAUUCAAUUUUUUUAAGCAAUUAUUCUGAUAUUUUUAACAUACUUAUUAACUUAUGUCACAUCCAAGACUUGGUACGUAAAAUUUUAUAACUGAGUGUCUACGAUAAAAUUUUGUUUUCUAUGAUAUUAUAUGAAAUCAAGUUAUUUAAAAAAUUUAAAUCAUUACAUGUAAAUAACAUUUUUUCUAUAGUACGUGGCUGAAUCUAAUUCAUGAGCAAGGUUGAAAUAACUAGACUCUGAAAAAGAUGAUAAAUCAAAAAUAACGAGCAGAGAUUGUAAUUUGAGCAAUGAUUCAUAAAAAGUUGAACAUUUUGUUCUUGAGAUGGGUCCAACCAUUACCAAUUGUCUUUAUUGCAUGAUUUUGAUACUUGUGGUUUAAUAUAAAUAAAAAGGGCAAAUUACAUAUUCCUCCUCAAAAUUGCUGAAACACUUAGAGGCAUCUUUAUUUAAAAUAAAAAUUUACACAAACUUUUCUUAUUUCAAGUUUUGGAUAACGCACGUCUCCUUAGAGCACUUCUCAUUUAACAACAAUGUAUUACAUCUUUUGAACAUUCAUAAGUUCACAAAUUUAUGACAAUUUAUUAUUAUUUUGCAUUUUAGCUUCAAUAGAGAUUUGUUGAAUGAUCGAUUAAGUGGAGUUUAAAUAAAUAAUACACGGGUAGAAAUGGAAUGAAGUGGGGCCAUGGUGAUUUUUAUCAUCCCGCCACAUUAGGGAUUUUCAAGAAAUGGGCGGUGAUAAAGCGGGAGUGGGAGCGUGGCAGGAAUUAAAAUAUUCUUAUUUAUCAUUUUGCUUCAAUUAUUUUUUAACAUACUUUUAUUUUUAAAAAUAAAAUUUAAAAUAAAAAAUAUAAAAAUAAAAUAAAGUGAAAAAAAUUCAAAAAGAGUUCCAAAAAUUCGAGAUGGAGACCAUGUUUCUCACCAGCCCUACUUACCUAACAAGGUGUGGCAAAGAAUUUUGUCAUCCCUAUAUCGCCUUCUUAAAUAUUUUGUUUCUAAUGAUUGAUUUAUGAUAGGGGUGGACAUUUUAAUUGGUACUUAACCACCCAAAUUAGAACCAUUGAUUUCGGUUCCAAAAAUUACAUGAAAUCGAAGCAUUCUAUUUAUAAAAUACAUAAAAUUUAAUAGGUGGUUACGGUUAUUAAAAUAUUCGAAUCGAAACUCAAUUAGGAACCCUUUUUAAAAGAAAUUACGUUUAUAGAUUAUAGAUUGUAUAAUCUCAUUCGCUAAUAGUAUAUUCAGCAAAGAAAUUAGUCUCAAUGCCAUUGGUUUCCAUUGUUAAUGUGCAACAGAACUUGCUAAAGGAGAUUUAGGGAAGUUGGAAAUGAAACUUUUAGAAAACAAUGCCAUGUUAGAACCAGUCUCAAACCUAAACCUAAACUGAACUGGUGGUUUCAGUUUCCUUUUAGUUUAAGAAAUUAAAUGGAAUCUAACACUUCUAUUUACAAGAUAUCUGAAGUUUAAUGUGCGAUUUUGAUUCUUGAAAAAAAAUCGAACCAACCCAUCUGACGCCCUCCACUAAUUUAUAGCCAAAAUAAAAUGUCUAUUUUUUGUCAGGUUACAAUUCAGUCUUGUGAUUGGAGAACAUGAACUAAACUGUGGUUAUUACUUUGUCAUUCAUAAAUGUAUCUUAAACAUUUCAAACCACCAUUUUGAAGUGUUCAUUGCCUAAUAUUUCACAUCAUUAACAACGUGCAAAACGAUCAAUCAUAGCAAAUAUUACGGCUCGCCAAAGUAGGUCGUUUCAAACUAGUAUUUUGAUAAAUUCAACAGCAUGUUAAUUUUAAAACUUCUCCGACAAUCGUACGCUAGUCGAAUCUACAAAUCGCCUAUGUCGUCUCUACAAAUCGCCUAUGUCGUCUCGAAACUAAUUUCGAAAACUAUAUCAUAGACGUAUCAAAUGGUCCAAAUGGACAACGAAGAUAAUUAAAAGUACAUCAAACAUACAUCUUAAAAAGAAACAUAUGACUCAUCUUUUAUUUAAAUUUUUUUAGUUAUUUCAUUAAUAUUUAUUAUUUUUGCUCGACAAUUUUUCAAUAUAAUUUAUAUCAUUUUAUUAGAAAAUUUUACAUGGGAUAUGAUGUAAAAAAAAAUAAUAAAUAAAAAUAAAUCGAAAUUUGGGUAUGAGCUUUUCAAAUGUAAAUUUUCGAAUAAAAAAUUUCUCACAACCUUUUUGCAAGUUUAAUUGUAUCGCUCUAACUCAAAAUGUCUGCAGAUGUCACUAGACAUUAUCACCAUUAUUAUACUAACAUGUGAAAAAAAUAAAAUAAAUAAAGGAUUGUCAAGGACGGUAUGCUUUAUUUUGGUAAGCAUUUAUUGGAAUUACUAUUUUGAGGAAAUGUGAACGAAUAAUGAUAUUCAGUGUUAAAUUAUUCUGAUGUAAUUUUUUCUUUUAUUGUUCGAUUCACUGCUACAUGAAAAUUCUCAAGAACUGUCGUCCUAUAUUAUAAACUACCUUACAUUUGUCUGUGCUUCUGAAAAACCAAUGUCAAUGUUUCACAAAAAUUGAUAAAAAAUAAUCUAAACUGACUUCUUCUUCUUUUUUUUCAAAACAAUUUUAUAGGUAAUAAAUUAAUAGUUGAACAAAUAUACGUAGAAUGAAACUCGCAUGGUAAACGAAGUAAAAAUAAAUAAUAUAAUAUUUAAAAAUAAUAAUAAUUGCACGAGUUCUAAACCCAGUACUUUAUGAGGUUAAAAUAAUCUAUCUACUAUGCUUUUUUCCUAUCCAAAAAUAUAUUUUUGGGAACAAGAUUCCAUUUAUGAAAAAUAUUAUAUGGCCGCAAAGGUUUGAACAUGUUUAGACUUUAGACAAUGAUUCCAAAACCAAGCACUAUAAAAACUAUUAAUAUUCCUCUUGCUGGAUAUAUUUCAAGUUUUGUUUCGAAAAAUAUAAGGGUGCAGUUGGUUUGCGUUUGCGUUUGCGUUUUCUGUUUUGAGGGACUUUUUUUUAAUUAUAGAAAACGUGUGUUAAUUUGUCAUUUUGAAAAACGGUUUCUCAAAACAAAAAACUAGAAAAUGCAUUUGGUUUAAAAUUUUUAGAAAUUGUUUUAUGACGUUUAUUCGAUAAAUUUGAUUAUUUAGUAAAACAUAAUAAUUUUAAGCUAAUGAGUUACCAGAUAAUAUCUAUUUUAAACUUGGUAAAUUUACUAUUUUUUCUUGCUAAAAAAAUAAAAUAAUAAAUAAUAAAUGUUAAGAAAUUGUUUUAUGAUAUUUAUUCAAUUAAUUUGAUUAUUUAGUAAAACAUAAUAAUUUUAAGCUAAUAUAUUAUCAAAUAAUAUAUAUUUUAAAUUGAUGAAUUUACUAUUUUAAAAGUAUUGUUGAGCAUCCCUUAAAAAAAAAUAUCGAAAACAACGUGUUUUGAGCAUUUUUCGCGUUUUUGGUUUUUUAACUCAAAACGCCCAAAACGGAAAAAAUAAAUAAAUAAAUAAAAUCGUUCUGCAUUUUUAGUAAAAAUAAUUUCCUUUUUUUUUUCGGAAAUGCAUUUUCGGAAACGAGUGACCAAACAUGUUGUGAGCGUUUUCAAAAACUAAAAACAGAAAACGGCUGGAAAACGGCAAAGAGAACGCCCCCUAAGGUUUUUUUUCUUUUCUUUUCUUUUCUUUUCGUUUAUCAUCAUCAUCAUCAUCAUUAUUAUUAUAUUUAGGCUCUAACAUUUUCAUUUUUCGAGCACUCAAAAGAUAUAAUAAAUGUGUAAAAAUCUCAGGUAAAUUAAUACAUCCUGAUAAUAGUUUAUAUUUUGUGAUUCAAAACUUUUGACAAGACCCCUCUUUACAUCUCUCCUUACUCAUGUUAGUGUUACAUAGUCCAGAUUCGACAAAGUACCAUAUUGAAAUUUGAAGGAACUAAAGAAUAAUGCCCAAUUUCUUCUGAAUUUGGAAGAAAUCAAACACUAUUCAUAAUUUUGUGACAAAUUAGACGUGUCAGUUGGACAAUUUUUUUAAAACUUGGUUUUAUGAUUCCAAUUUUAAUAUGAUUAAUUAUGUAAUAGACGAAAAAAUUAAAACAUCGUACAUAUUUAUGUAUAAUUAUUGUCCAGUAUCACGUAAGAAACUCGUUAUGUAUUUUACAGACACAUAAAAUUAAUAUAGCAAGAAAACAUGUUGAUAUCUUGGUGCGGCAUAUUAUAUGAUGGAACCAAUCACAACACAUGGGUUGUGGGACCAAGUGUUUCUGAUUAUUUUCGUCUAUGCCUUUUUCUUUUUUUUGGUGGAAAGCAAGCUGGUUCUUGAUGCCCAAAAUAGAUUUUGGACGAGAAUAGAAUACAGGUAGGAAUGAAAAGAAAUCAACAGGUAUUUGGUAUGAUACAUGAAUAAAUAAAGGGAUGGAAUACGAUUCCCAUCUUGGAGCCAAGUUCUUGUUAGAUGUUUUAAAGUACGAGAGGAUUAACUUUUAUUACUGCAACAUGUAUUUGGUGUAGAUGAUAUGUUAAAGGCCUGUGGUCAGAAAUCUACCAACUUGACAGAAAAAUAUGAAUCAGUUUAAGGCAACCUUAGAAAUAGGUUGGACCAGAACUGUUUACUUACGCUUCUUGGUAGGAUUGGAAUGAUGGCGUAGGCAACCUUAGAAAUAGGUUGGACCAGAACUGUUUACUUACGCUUCUUGGUAGGAUUGGAAUGAUGGCGUAUAAAACAUCAUGAUGCUCUUAAUUUAUAUCUCAUCCAUGUUGAUCUUGUUCGUCUUCGGAGUCUUUUGUUGUAUAUAUGAAUUAUAUUUAUGUUGCUAUUAACAAUAAUGUAAUUAUGACAGUGUGCGAAUAUUAUAUCUACAAGUUCUAGGUGCAAAUAACAUAUAUACGUGCAAAUAGUUAGGAUGUUGAGGUCUUAAAAUUCCGAGCUUCUGAGGAUGGCCUCAAUCAAGGGCCACCAUGGCCCAAGCUCAAUAAUGACAAGGUAACUCACUACAAGCCCACAAUGAUCAUCUUAUUGGUCUCUAAUAAUUAUUUUAAAAGGUACUAAACUGUUAUUUAUAUUUUAAAUAGAUGAUCGAGGUCAAGAAAAUGCCGUAUUUUAGUAUUUUACGCAACAAAACUCCUAAAGAAAAUGUAAUCGAAAUUAUGUUAGAAUUCAAAAUAUUUUCAGAUUGGUUGUUGGGCAGUCUCUUUCAUUCAACCUUUUAGUCCUCUCUCUGCUAGCUUUGCCCCUAAAGUCAGUCCAUUGCACCCUUCUUCUUUGGGACUAAAUUCUUUACUUUAAAAAGACAAACGGUACGAUCUCUUUUUUGUUUUUUCGGCUCUCUCUUUUGGCAGAAUUAGGCGGUUAAUUAAGUCUCUCCUAAAUCAACCAAACUUUUAUGUGUGUGUCACUUUCGCUUGGAUGGAAGACUCUCACUGCCGAUAGAUGCGCCUGUUAUGGUAUUUUUGUUUAGUGGUCCUCAAUCUUAAGCUGGUUAUAGUCUGAAUAUCAUUAUCUGGAGAACAUUUGGCUAAAGAUUGAGUACGACUUGACAAAAGCUUGCGUAGAUCUGUCGAUAAUAAUGUAAUCUAUUGAAAAGCGACCAUCGACAACUUAAAAUAAGUUUUUCAAUGUGUUAUAUAUCCGUACUCUUAUUUAAUUGAAACACUAGCAAACUCCUUUUUUAUAAAUGUUUAGCUUUCAUUAAAGAAAACUUUAGAUGAAAGGAAA